rnacentral:lncRNA from 1 species
UGGCAAAAGGUGCUUAUAAGCACCUGCUUCACAUCAGGACUUCAAAUAGGCCUUUAUUUUCACCAAAUUACUGAUUCCAAACUCGAUUCCUUGCAUUUAGUCUGUAUCCUUGUUGCAAUUCUCUUUUCUUGCUUCUUUGUUUGACAUUUUAUCAACCCCACCAAGUUUCCGAGGACAUCCAAAGUGUUGGGUAAAGCUGCAGUUUUCCUGACAGCCACUGCGUUUUUCAUCACCAUUUCAAUCCCAUUCCACCCUGGUGUCAAGUGGGCUACUUGGAUAAUCUACGCCAUUUCGUUGCUUGUUAUUGCAAUCUGCAAUUUCUGCUACUAGACUCGAGCUUUACAUGGCAUAUAUUUUUUUCUGUCAGUGUUUGUAUUUGUUCUUCGUAACAAGGCUUACAUUUGCAUGUUGGAAGCUGUUGAAAUCCAGUGUAAUCACGGAUCACGGUGUUAUAUAUAACCAGUGAUCAAUAUAACAUAAUAAGGGUCAUUCAAACUUUUUAUGGGCUUGCAUCUUUCGAUUGGAGAAUUUGAUGGGCUAAGCCUAGGUAGGAGCCUAGAUACGGCCUGAUUAUCUUAUGUCUUGCCUGUUAAACUUCGUCUACAAAUUAAAUUAGGGCUAACAAAACCCAUUGAUUGACAAAAUUCUUAGAGACCGUUUCUCAAAUUUUAUUUUACUUUUUAAAAAAAAAAAUUAUUUUUUUAUAUUUUCAGAUUAUUUUAAUAUGUUAAUUUAAAAAAUAAUUUUUUAAAAAUAAAAAAAAUUAUUUUAAUAUAUUUCUAAAUAAAAAAUACUUUAAACUGCAAUCGUUACCACAGUACCAAAGAUUUAAUUGUUAUUGGCACAUCGUUAUUCUUAACCUUCCAAAACUUUAUUUAUUUAUUUAUUUUGAUAAAUCCUUCCAAACUGUAGUUAUCUUAUCUUUUUUAAAUUAAUGUAACUCAGUCGAGAGGCAGCAUAUUAUAGGAGUCCAAUCACUCAUGGGAGGUUAAACUUAAAAUAUUAGGUAUAGACCUAAUCAAUGAAGAUGAGUCAAUCAUAUUAUAGGAGUCCAGUGCAAUUAAUUAGUAAGUCUUUACUCAUUUUUAGCAAUAUCUAUAUUGUAAAACCUGAGAAUAAAACUCAACCUAAUAUCUAUCAACCACUUUCUUUCAAUUAAUCAUUAUAUUUUUUUUAUUAAAAAUAUUAUUUUAAUAUAUUUUUAAAUAAAAAAUAUUUAAAAAAUUUACUAGACCAAACAGACCAACAAAGUGUGCCAAAGGAAGCUUCCUCGUUAAUUAUUAUCAAAAUCAGAAGUGAAGUCAAGAUUGAACUUCUUUCAAAUUUAUCCUCUUUUCAAUGAUUACAUAACAAGAUGGUGAUUGAGCUUAUAAAUUUAGGCAAGACAAUCCAAAUGCACUUGAGAUUCGCAGCCACUUCUAUCCCUUGAGUGUUUGGGAUUACUUUUUAAAAACGUUUCUAAAUAAAUUUAAAUUUUUUUUUUAUUUUGAAGUAAUAUAUUUUUGAUAUUUUCAAAUCAUUUUAAUAUGUUGAUUUUAAAAAUAAUUUUAAAAAAAUAUUAUUAACUGAGUAAAAAACACUUUAAAAAGUAACCACAACCACACUCUCAAACAUCCUCUAAAAAAAACCUUGUAAUCCUUUUUUUAUUCAAGAAAAAUAUAAAAAUAAAAUUAAAAAUAAUUAAACUACGAGAAUAGAGGAAAAAUAUCAGUAAAUUUAAAGGGGCAGAAAAUAAGUUAGUUUUAAAACCCAAAGCCAAAAAUCAACAAGUCAACCUCCUUCAACUCUUUAACCACUCCUCAUCGUUCCACUUUCCAGCCAUGGAUAAGAAGAUCUGAGGAGUGAGAAGACUUGUUGCCCAAAAAACAUUUGUCUUGCGUCGAUGAUGAUUUACCUCCUGUAAUGUUGACUCUAUGGGAAAAGAUGGAAAAAGCGUUAUCGUUGCUUAAAGAUUAAAAAUUCUUUAGGAAUCGGCCUGCAAAAUCUCCCUUACCCUCACCUGUGCGUCCCAAAUUCUACGCUUCUUGAAUGUCUUCAACUGGAGGGUCGGAAAGGGCUUUCAUGUCCAGAGCUUUUUGCUCGGGUAUGGAAUUGUGGAUUUCCACAAUGGACUUCAAAUGUACGUUAUUACAGACCGAGUGAAUACGCACACAUAUCAGAUGCCAUCUCUUGUGGAGUAAGGGGUAUUAUUGCCUUUCCGGUCUUUGAUUCUGCUGCACCCAUGCAUUGCCGUGCUGUGCUGGAGCUUGUGACCAUGGAGGAGAAACAAGAUUUUGAUUUAGAGACGGAAAAGUUUUCCAGGCUCUCCAGGUUUGUUUUCAUUACAUAUAUUUUUUCAAUCAGAUUUUGGAAUACGUUGAAAAUACUACUCAAUUUAUUAUCAGGAUUUAGGAGAAUAAGAAAGAGAUGAAAGAAAGUAGCUUUCCUUAGCAUAUUGAGCUUGAAGUCAAAGUUAUUGUUUUUUCUACUUUUGAAAUCUCAUAAAAUGUGAAUUUUCCCCUUAGCUUCAUUUUCUGUGAUCUCUGCGUUCGCAUUUGCUAGUGUUUCUGAGGUGAAACAAUCUUUAAGCUUUAAAUUAGAGCUGAUGAGGCAUUCACUAUUACAACUGCAUGCAUUAGCUUGAGUCCAAAAUAUUUCUGCCAUUAAAUUAUAUGUGCAAAGAGACAUUGGUCUUGUUUGAUGGUGUUAUAAACUCUGUAUAAGCCCAACUGUUUGCAGGCUGCGGAUUUACGGAUCAAUUUACAACCUCGACUUCGUCCUGAGGUAUUUAUCAGGAGUACCUUAUAGAUUUUUCUAUGCUAAAUUAGGUUGUCUUCUGCUUUGUCUAAUAGAAUUUUUUUCCCAGUGUUUUUCAAGGGAUCAAAGAGCUGAGUUAACAGAAAUCGCUAAUGUUACCAGAUUGUAUGCCAAACACACAGAUUGCCACUUGCUCUGACAUGGAUUCCUUGGGAUUAUACCUGGGGAGCUGUUGAUGAUAUUUCAAGAUUGCGUGUCAGAUUAGGUAUUCAAUUUUUUUUAUGGACAUGUGAACUUUCUAUAGAGCGUACAGCUUGUCAUGCAGAUGAGGAGAUGCAAUGCUUUGUGCAUUCUUGUGAGCAACUAUUUCUGAACACAGGGCACGGUGCUGCUGGACAAGCCCAUCGAACAUAUCUUCCUUCCUUUGAGCCUGAUGUGAAGGAAAAGCAUGUCAGCGAGUAUCCUCGUGCUCAUCACACUCGAAAGUAUAAUUUGAAUGCUGCGGUUGCAAUCGUGCUAAGGAGCACUGGUACUGGUUGUAGCUAUAUAUUAGAGUUCUUUCUCCCUGUCCUCAUGACAGAUAUUUUAGAGCAGCAAGAUUUGGUUACAAACCUGAAGCUUAAACUACGGGAAACUUGUAAGAGCUUGAGAAUGUUUUCAGAAGCACAAUUAGUUGGGGAACAAGGUUCUAAAGCUAGUAAAAAGAAUGCUAAAAUGACACCUUCUCCAAAUGCUGAUGGUAAUAUGUUCACUGUAUGUGCUAAUAAUAAAAGACGAAAGGUAUCUGAAGUGUGGAAAUGGUUCGACAAGGUUAAAGAAAAGAAUGGUGUAGUAUGGAGCAUAUGUAAAGGAUGUCAAAAGAAGCAUCCAGGGGAAAGCAAGAAGGGAACUUCAAAUCUGCACAAGCACUUAAAACGGUGCAGUAUGGGCCAUAUGUAAAGGAUGCAAAAACAAGUAUACAGGGGAUAGCAAGAAGGGAACUUCAAAUCUACCCAAACACUUAAAAAGUUGUUCAAAAAAUAGACGGAGAGAUGCAAAAACAAAUAUGUUUGUUCAAUGGCGAAGAGAAUGAAGUUAUCUAGCAUCACCUUCUAAGGACAUCAGUUGUCUGACAUCAUAUGAUCCAGAUUCUGAUGAUAAGUUCUGGGGAUUCCGUGAGUGGCGUAAGCAGAAAGAUGAUGGCGAUGUGGUUGAUUCACAAAAACUUGAUCUUAAUCGGUAUUUAGGAGAGCCUUUGGAAAACCUGGAUAAGGUUUCAGAUGUAUUAGCUUGGUGGCGAGUCAGUUCUCCAAGAUUUCCUACACUUGGUAAAAUGGCUCGUGAUUUCCUAGCGAUUCCAAUAUCAGCUACUGUAUCAAAGUCUUUUUUCAGUGGUGCAGUUGCUUUCAAUGGUUUCAGGCCAGAGAUCAUAUAGAGGCUUUAAUAUGCGGACAGGACUGGUUGGAAAGCCCUGAAAAUAAUUGAGUUCUUCACUGUCUACAGACAGGUGAUUACAAAAUGAUUCUUCCCCCUAAAUUUCUGAACAUCGUUUUCCUGUUUUUUUUCCUACCAUUAUUUGUUAAUGAAAUUUGGCUGCAAAGUCGCACACUUCCCUUGUAAUGAAUAUUAACAGGGUCAUGAUGAUGCAACGUUGAUCAAUUAUAGUAUCAAUUUGUUUAACCAGAUUGUUUUUUUAAGGUAUUAGCAUAUGUCUUACGCGUUGACAACAUGUGAACGUGAUUGUUCUGUUGUAACUAUAGUUUUCGUCACCUGAAAUUCAAUGGAGGGCACUGAACAUGAAACCAAUUUCGAUAAAAUGUUGGCAUUUUAUGGGAUGAUCAUUUUUCUCAAUUUGUUCUUGUCAUCCAUAUUUGCAGGAGCAAGGAAGGGAUUUCUGGUUCUUCACUGGUCUCAUCUGACUCACUUGUGAAGCAAAUGUCUAAAUAUCUGGUUGGUCCGUUUAGAGUGAGCAAACCUACCAGUCCAGAGGAUUUGAAGUUAAUCCAAUAGGUCUUCGACUCUUCACUGAAUGGGAGGUCAGAAUUUUUUCUAAAAGUUCUUGUUUGCUUAGCUGAACGAUUUUAAGCUUACCUGUUCUAUACUUGUUUGUGCUAGUGAGAUUGUUGUUCAAUGCAAUAAUUAUUAUUUAACUCGGCGGGAAUUAUGCCCCAUGAGACCAUAGCCCUGGCUUAAUGAUAACGUCCUGUCUACAUUCUUAGCUCAUAGAUACUACAUAAAAUGUUUGAAUGGCCCAUAUUAUGUUGUAUUGAUCAAUGAUUAUACAUAAUAACGUGAUUACACUGAAUUUCAACAUGCAAAUACAAACAUUAACAGGAAAAAAUAUAUGUCAUGUGACGCUGGUGUCUAGUAGCAGAAAUUGCAGAUUGCAAUAACAAGCAACGAAAUGGCAUAGAUUAUCCAAGUAGCCCCCUUGAGACCAGGGGGGAAUGGGAUUGAAAUGAUGAUGAAAAACACGGUGGCUGCCAGGAAAACUGCGACUUUACCCAACACUUUGGAUGUCCUCGGAAACUUGGCAGGGUUGAUAAAAUGUGACACAAAGAGGCAAGAAAAGAUAAUUGCAACGAGGAUACAGACUAAAUGCAAGGAAUCGAGUUUGGAAUCAGUAAUUUUGUGAAAAUGAAGGGCUAUUUCAAUUCCUGAUGUGAAGCAGGUGCUUAUAAGCGUAUUUUGCCAUUCCAUUUCCUGCUUAGCAUGGAACAUAUUGACCAUCUCUUCUUCUUGGUUCAUGGUGGGAGGUGGUAGCUGCUGUGAUUCUAGUUGUCCUGCUCUAUACCAGAGUCGGGACACAGAUUCUGGAAUUGAAAGAAUGAAACCCUUGAUAACUCGAGCACCAUUCUCCAUGGUUUUCCUGUACGCUAUAAAGCUUGAGAAGACUAGGAAAUAAUUUAUAAGAAACGAAAAAAACUGUCGGAAUAAUAUGCUUAUGAUACCUUUAUAAAAGUUUUUAAUAUCAAAAAUAAAUUAUUUAAAAAAUAUAUUUUAAUUUAUUUUUAAAUAAAAAAAUACUUUAAAGAAUAAAUAGUAGCAGCAGUAAAGCUUCAAAGUCAACAAGUGCUAGAAUGGAGAAUGUAAUAAUGAUGUACACAGAGAAAAGAACUAAGAAAAUGGAGAAACGUAGAGAAACAAUGGUAAAUCCUCUCUCUUCUUCUUUUUUAGUUUUUUCACAGAAAGAAACAAAUUAACUCAAAAGCUCAGAGAGAAUUUGCACACCGGAAAAAAUGCAAAAAACCUUAAAUUAUCGUUGUAAAAAAGAAACAGAUCGAGAAUCACCUGAAUAUUCAGCUUUAUAUGCCAGAAUACGUAUGGUACACCGUCAGUGCAGUUCUUUCCUCAGCUCUUCAUUAAUUUGAUCUUGGGUCUAUUUUGUUUCACCAGGCUUUGUUGUUUGCUUUGUGGGGGUUUGAAUAUGAAUACUGCUUGCAAGAAUGGUGGCUUUAUUUAUACUCGAGGGGCUUGGGUCCCAGUGCUGGCUGGGAAGGAACGUGUCAACAUUCUGAAGAGAAAACGCUGUUAAAAAGCGAUACUGGAUUCUUGGGUGCUGGUGGAGCCCGACUCUUUACUCUUUUCUAGCAUCUUUCGCUUUCACACCGUCCAGUAGUUAUUUUUUAAAUAAUUUUUUAUAUUAAAAUAUAUAUAAAUAAUAUUUUUUAUUUUUUAAAAAUUAUUUUUAACAACAAUAAAUAAAAACGAUUCAAAAUAUAUUAAAUAUAUUAAAUUUUAAUAUAAAAAAAGUUUUGAAUUUUUUGACAACGCGGUUCCCACCGCGUUACCAAAUUGUUUCUAUCUCUCGAAAAGCAAAGAGAUGAAAGAAAAUCUUUGAGAAAAUGCUGUUAAAAAGCGAUACUGGAUUCUUGAGUGCUAGUGGGAGCCGACUCUUUACUCUUUUAUAGCCCCUCGCGCAAGACAGUUGAGGUUUAAUUAGUUGUUAAUCAAAUAAAAUUCCGGUUUAAUUAAUUUGGGUCUAUUUUGUUUCACCAGAAUUUUAUUUUAUUAAAAUUCCGGUUUAAAAUUUUUGGUAAUUAUAAUAUUUUCAAGAGAGUUUUUGUGAUUAUAAUUGGAUAGUUUCUUUGAAUUCUUGAAAUUAAUGUUAAGAAAUGCGUUGUUGUGUUGAAAGUCUGUUAAUUCUAUGGCAAUGCUUAGAGACCAACCUCCAGCUUGGUGUUAUUCCCAUCAGUGCAUUGCUGUGUUGAAAGUCUGUCAAUUCCAUGGGACAUUGUCAUAUUAAUUUUUAUUUUUGGAAGAAAAAACCAAAAUUAAUGGGCCCCGCAUCUCUAGCAAAAGAUGCGGGGCCCAUUAUUUUGUAUACAUCCUUUCAUUCUACCUCUUGAAAAGUAAAGCGAUGAAAGAAAAUCUGCAUGCAUCCUUUCAUUCUCCAUGGUUUUCCUGUGCUAGCUAUCGUGCUCUAUUUAUAGAUAUUGUACUAGGGUUAGUGAGGUUUGAUAAAGUAAUCAGAGUUCGUGAAAAUGAGUGCACGUUGCAUAUUCUAUUUGAAGUCCAGAGUCAGUGAAAAUGAGGCCCACCUAGAAAAAGAAGAACCUGUUGCGUCUAUGUUUUAUUUAAAACGCAGAUAGAACCUGUUUGUUAAUUUAAAACGCAAAUAGAACCUAUUUGAUUAACAAAACAACACAGUUUAUUAUAUAUGGGUUCCACGUAAAUUUAUAUUCGAGACGCAAAAAAAAAAAGAAGCAGCAAAAUGCUGCUUCUUGCGCACUGUUCAUGCCAAUUAAUUAGCAUGAACAGUGUAGCACAUACACUGUUCACGCCAAUUAAUUAGCAUGAACAGUGUAGCACAUACACUGUUCAUGAUAAAAAUAAUCAGCAUGAACAGUGUAGCAUACACUGUUCACGCUGUGUAGCAUACACUGUUCAUACUAAAAAUAAUUAGCAUGAACAGUGUAGCAUACACUGUUCUGGUCCGACCGGUUCCGGUUCAAAACUUUAAAUGCAUUGAAAUAGGUCCGACCCAGUACAAUAAAAAAUAAAAAUUAUUUUUUAUUUUUUAAUUGUGUUUUAUUCAAAAAACUAAUAUUUAACAUUAUUCAAUAACCCAUUGUCGGAUGUAUUUCAUACGUGAUGAAAUUGUAAAUAGUUUAAUGAAAUAAUAAAAAAUAUUUUAUAUAAAGUAUUAUUUAUUUCAUGAUGUAAUAACAAUAGUUAAAUCUACAAUAUUUAAAUUAAAAACCAUCAAUAUUAAUAUAUAUUUUUUAAAAUUAUUUUAUAAUCUCAACUUCAAAAGCAUUAUUAACCAAACACAUUAAACUACUUUUUGUUCAAACUCAAUUUCAACUACAGUUUUAACCAAACACCUAUUUUUUCAAACCAACCUCAACUAAAAGUACUUUUUAUAAAACAAUUUUUUUCAAAUCACAACCACAACAGCUACUGCAAUACCAAAACACUCAAAGCUCUCAAGAUAGAUAUAUCUAUCUCUAUGGCGUCACAUGGGCACCACACACAAGAUUGACCCGUCGUAGGAUAAAAGGAGAGGCUCGGCUCAUCUUCUAUCGUCGAGGGUGGCUAUCAUGGCUACGUGGAUUGACCUUCUCUGUUCUUAUGUAGCAAAAGGAAAGUGAAUAAAAAUGAUUGACUUUAGCUCAAAGUAAUAAAGAAUUGAGUUGUUGGGCGACUGAGAAUAAUAAUAACAACAACUUAUUUGUUUUUAUUUUUUUAAUUUAUUUUUCUAAUAUUUUCAUAUUAUUUUAAAAUAUUUUUAAGUGAAAAAUAUUUUAAAAAAUAUUUUAAAGGUAAAUAUCAAGCUUGAUAUUUAAAAGAAUAUUAAUAAAAUAAUAUAUAUAUAUAUAUUAUUUUAUUAAUAUUCUUUUAAAUACCGGAAGUUUUUAAUUGGUAUGGUAAUUUUUUAAAAAAAAAAACGUUAGAAUUCUGGCUAUGAAUUUAAGUCACGUGGCUCUAAGAGUGGGAAGAAUUAACAAAUUUAGCGGGAAGAAUGGCAAAACCAAAGUAACCAUUUAACAUAUUUACAAAUUACUAGACACGUGGCUUCACAUUAACAACCUAAGUCGGUAGUCGAGGGGCUUGGGCUGUGUUAAACCGUGGAAGGGUAUUUGGGCCCACGUGACGUUACUUUCAAAUUUACAAAUUUUGCCCCAGACUCGAGUAUAAAACCACCCCCCCCCCCCCCCCCCCCAAGCAUCAACAAGACCUGCUCUUGCUCUCGCCUUGGAUUGAACAAGACCUGCUCUUGCUCUCGCACCCCCGCACCCCCCCCCGGCGCGAGGAGGAAAAUCUCCCGUGCCUCCCCCCCUCUCCCCAAGCAUCAACAAGACCUGCUCUUGCUCUCGCUCUCGCUCCUGGGCGUGAACAAGACCUGCUCUUGCUCUCGUGCUCCCCCCCACCCCCCCUCCCCCCCCAAGCAUCAACAAGACCUGCUCGUGCUCUCCCCCCUGGGUGCGAGGAAAAUCUAUCGUGCUCCCCCCCCUCCCCCCAAGCAUCAACAACCCCCCCCCCCCCCCGGGGCGCGAGGAAAAGCUCUCGUGCUCCCCCCCCCUCCUCCCCCCAAGCAUCAACAAGACCUGCUCUUGCUCUCGUGCGUAGUCGUGCGAACAAGACCUGCUCUUGCUCUCGCGCUCUCGCCCGACCUGCUCUUGCUCUCGUGAUCUUGGACUCGCAAGAGCUGUUAAAACCGUGGUAGGUUACUUGGCCCCACGUGACGUUACUUUCAAAACCAAUUUACAAAUUUGCCCAAGGCUCUAGUAUCGUUUAGCACACGCCAGAGUCUGCAAGACGGACUCGCAAGAUUGUUGCCAUAUCCGUAGGCAAGACCCAAACCCUCCCUGUAAAUUCCAUAGAAAAGGCGAUUCCAUAGAAAAGGUGGAUAAGAAUAUAUAUAGCGUUGCCAUAUCCGCAAGACCGAAACCCCCCCUGUAAAUUCCGUAGAAAAGGCGGAUAAGAAUAUAUAUACGGAUACCCCCCCAUAUAUACCGUAGGCAAGACGGACCCCCGGCACAACAUAUUCACGACCACAGCACUUAUACAAACAAUUCAAUCUAGUAAUUUAAGUUUUUAUAUAAAAUUUUAAUAAUUUUAAAUUUAUUCUCUUACACAAUUUUUAUAAACAGGAUUCAUAUUCAAACCCUACUGCAAACAACAAAGCCUGCAGCACUCAGCUCUUAAUUAAUUUGGGCUAUUUUAAUGAAGAGCUGAGGAAAGAACUGCACUUAUUGUAUACGAAGCAAACAACAAAGCGGUGAAACAAAAAGACCCAAACACGCUCGAAGAGCUGAGGAAAGAACUGCACUUACUCUAUAUACCAUAAGUAUUCUUGCAAAUAAAGCUGAAUAUUCAGGUGAUUCUCGAUCUGUUUCUUUUUUACAACAAUAAUUUAAGGUUUUUUGCAUUUUUUCCUUUGUGCAAAUUCUCUCUGAGCUUGUGAGUUAAUUUGUUUCUCUCUGUGAAAAAACUAAAAAAGAAGAAGAGAGAGGAUUCACCAUUGUUUCUCUACGUUUCUCCAUUUUCUUAGUUCUUUUUUCUGUGUACAUCAUUAUUACAUUCUCGAUUUUACACUCGUAGACUUUGAAGCUUUACUGCUGCUAGUAUUUAUUCUUUAAAGCAUUUUUUUAUUUAAAAAUAAAUUAAAAUAUAUUUUUUAAAGAAUUUAUUUUUUAUAUUAAAAAUUAAAAAAAUUAAAUUUCCUUCAAAAUAUUUUUAAAAAGAACUGUAAAAAUCUCAAAUUAACAAAAAAACUAUUAUAAUUAUAUAUAAAAAAAACUUUUAUAAAAGUAUCACAAGCAUGCUAUUCCGACAGUUUUUUUGUUUUUUAUUAUUUCACAGUCUUCUCAAGCUUUAUAGCAUACAGCACAGGAAAAUCAUGGAGAAUGGUGCUCGAGUUAUCAAGGGUUUUAUUCUUUCAAUUCCAGAAUCUGUGUCCCGACUCUGGCAUGGAGCAGGACAAUUGGAAUCACAGCAGCUACCACGUCCCACCAUGAACCAAGAAGAAGAGCCGGUCAACAUGUUCCAUGCUAGGCAGGAAAUGGAAUGGCAAAAGACGCUUAUAAGCAACUGCUUCACAACAGGACUUGAAAUAGCCCUUCAUUUUCACCAACCUACUCAUUCCAAACUCGAUUCCUUGCAUUUAGUCUGUGUCCUUGUUGCAAUUAUCUUUUCUUGCCUCUUUGUUUCACAUUAUAUCAACCCCGCCAAGUUUCCAAGGACAUCCAAAGUGUUGGGUAAAGUCGCAGUUUUCCUGGCAGCCACCGUGUUUUUCAUCAUCAUUUCAAUCCCAUUCCCCCCUGGUCUCAAGGGGGCUACUUGGAUAAUCUAUGCCAUUUCGUUGCUUGUUAUUGCAAUCUGCAAUUUCUGCUACUAGACACCAGCGUCACAUGGCAUAUAUUUUUUUUCUGUCAAUGUUUGUAUUUGCAUGUUGAAAUUCAGUGUAAUCACCUUAUUAUGUAUAACCAUUGAUCAAUACAGCAUAAUAAAGGCCAUUCAAACUUUUUAUGUAGUAUCUAUGAGCUAAGAAUGUAGAAAGGACGUUAUCAUCAAGCCAGGUCUAUGGUCUCAUGGGGCAUAAUUCCCGCCGAGUUAAAUAAUAAUUAUUGCAUUGAACAACAAUCUCACUAGCAGAAACAAGUAUAGAACAGGUGAACUUAAAAUCGUUCAGCUAAGCAAACAAGAACUCUUAGAAAAAAUUCUGACCUACCAUUCAGUGAGGAAUCGAAGACGUAUUGGAUUAACUUCAAGUCCUCUGGACUGGUGGGUUUGCUCACUGUAAACGGACCAACUAGAUAUUUAGACAUUUGCUUCACAAGUGAGUCAGAUCUCACAUUUAAGGAGACCAGAGAAGAACCAGAAAUCCCUUCCUUGCUCCUGCAAAUAUGGACGACAAGAACAAAUUGAGAAAAAUGAUCAUCCCAUAAAAUGUGAACAUUUUAUUGAAAUUGGUUUCAUGUUCACUGCCCUCCAUUCAAUUUCAGGUGACGAAAACUAUAGUUACAACAGAACAAUCACGUUCACAUGUUGUCAACGUGUAAGGCAUAUGCUAAUACCUUAAAAAAACAAUCUGGUUAAACGAAUUGAUACAAUAAUUGAUCAACGUUGCACCAUUAAGCUUAGGAAAUGCAAAUCAAAUUUAGCUUUUGCUAUUGUUUUAGCAUCAUUACAAGGGAAGUGUGUGACUUUGCAGCCAAAUUUCAUUAACAAAUAAUGGUAGGAAAAAAAUCAGGAAAACGAUGUUCAGAAAUUUAGGAGGAAAAUCAUUUUGGAAUCAAGAAGUGCACUUUCCUAUUGAUGUUCCACUCCACUAGCACAUUUUUCACAGCUUCAUUCAUAUAACCAUGUUCUAUAUUCCUGAAAGCCAAAAUCUUCUUAUUCAUCCUCCACCCAUCAUCAAUAAAAUGCAUGCUCAAGCAGCAGGACAUCUUGUUAUCACCGUAUGACUGCAAAUCAAUUGUUAAAUUAAAUAGAGAUGAGAGAUUAUCAAGAUAUUUCAUUAGUUUCUCUUUCUCUUGUCCGUAAAUAGAAAGAGCAUCAGCCUGAACAGUGUCUUGUGAACAGAGUUGAAACUUUAGCUGCAGAUCGCAGACAAAUGUUUUGAAGACCUCAUUUUGAACCAUAUCCAAUGGACAUCCGAGCUUCAUAGUCAUUCUAGCAAGGUUAAGGCAACUCCUUUCUUGAUCAAACACGAAAUUCCCUCCCAAGGCAAUGUAUGUUGUUUUGCAUCUCUCCGUCUCUUUUUUUGAACAACUUUUUAAGUGUUUGUGUAGAUUUGAAGUUCCCUUCUUGCUAUCCCCUGUAUACUUGUUUUUAAAUCCUUUACAUAUGGCCCAUACUGCACCAUUUUCUUCUUCAACCUUAUCGAACCAUUUCCACACUUCAGAUACCUUUCGUCAGCACAUAUGAUGAACAUAUUACCAUCAGGACCUGGAUAAAGUUCAAUUAUAUUAUCGUUUUUACUAACUUUAGAACCUCGUUUCCUAAGUAAUUCUUCUUUUGAAAACAUUCUCAAACUCUUACAAGUUUUCCGUAGUGUAAGCUUCAGGUUCCUAACCAAGUCUUGCUGGUCUGAACUCUCUCUUUCAUGAGGAUAGGGAGAAAGAACUCUAAUAUAUAGAUAUAACCAGCACCAGUGCUCCAAAGCCGGAUUGCAACUGCAGCAUUCAAAUUAUACUUUCGUGCGUGAUGAGCAAGAGGAUACUUGCUUACAUGAUUUUCCUUCGCAUCAAUAAAUUAAAUUAAAUUACAAUAAAAUCUGAUAAAGAAAGUCAAUAAUAUUCUAAUAAAUGAGUAAUUUAAAUAAAAUAAAAAAAUAGAUAAUAUAAAUCAAUAAAUUAAUGACAUGGAAAAAUAAAAAAUCUUGGAACAGAACUUCUCAAUAUAAGAGAAUCAUUAAAAGGUAAGAAGUACACAUAAAUCUAGUAACAACCUGGUUGUUCCCAUUACAAUAAGUCCUGAUAGACUCCUUUUGCGUUGCACGCUAAUGAAUCUAAACUAGUAAUUAACUAAUAUGAAUUCAAUAAUAAAAUAAACCCUUAAACAAUGUCUAACGCACUAGAAAAAAAAUUAAAUUAAAAAUAAUUAUUUAAAAUAAAUAAAAAAGAAUAAUAAAAAAGUCCUCAUGUUAGAAUUCCUUCAUGUAGUCCGAAUCUCUAAUUUUUAUAUAUUCUUGGCAGAUUUGAAUCCUGAUUUCAAACGUGUCAUUCUCUCUCAUUUGGAUGAAUUAUUGGGCCUACGAUAUAUGGUUGGAAAACUUUAGAUGUCUAGUUUCUAACUCAACUUCAAUCGAAGCAAAAUUCUACCGGUAGCUUCAGAUAUGUCCCAAACAGUACAAGAAGAUCUUUUUUGAUAUAUUUGACAAUAUUAGUUUACUAACUUUGAUCCUCUAAAAUAUUAUGUUCCCUAACUCUAUUUGACCUGAAAAUGUACCACAAUAUAUUUUUAUGUAUCUAAUAUUUUCGUGUAAAAUUUCAGUUUUAUCCAAUAUAUGGUUUGAAUGAUAUGUUCAAUCUCGCAAAACUAGUCAACAAACAUUUUAAGGUCAAAUUUGGACCUCACUUGGUUCAUAUCACAAAUUUAAUAAACUUGUAAAAUCAGACCAAGUUUACUGAUUUUACAAAUUUUGCAUGAGUUAAGUUUGAUUUUAUUAGUUUCAAGUUUUUAGUACAAUUUAGCAUGUUAAAUACAUAUUGACUCGUAAAAUUAAAAGAAAGAGGUGGAAUUUGUUGAUAAUCAGAUUCGGAGUCGUCAACCGAAUGUUAGAGUUUGAGAAAAGUUUGAUGCAGGACAAUAAAUAAUAAAAUUAAAGCAAGAACAGAAAGAAGCUUUAAAAAAGAAAGAAGCUGAAGAAGAGAAGAAAAGGGAUUGGAGAUAUGCAAAGUCUGCAAUAGUUUCAUUAAUCAUCCAAAAUUGUCUCUCAAGAUGACAGAAGAACAUAUAAAUAGUAAACCCUAAAACAUCCCGCUAUUAGGCGUGGCCCAUCAAAUCAAACUGUUUAACAUAAAUAAUAAAAUAACAAUGAGCAGGCCCAAAUAGGCUAAAUAAAUAAAAUAACAAUGAAAUAGGUCCAGAUGGGCUUAGUCUCCAAAUCAAAGCGUGACAGGCUGGGUCAUCCUACGUCGUCUUCGUCCAUAUACUCGUGUAGUUUGUGGUGUGGGUCUGGUGUCCCCAUCAACUCUCCCGGGGUUAGAGAAACUCGACCCUGUCGAGUGUAGCAUUGGCCGACUCUGAUAGUACUCUCAAAGAUCUGGAUCAAGCUGCUGCAAAGUAUCUCUAGUAAUCCAAGUGCAAUUUGAGUCAAGUCGACCCACCCAGCGAACUAGAAACCGUUCAACCUUGUUGUUACUCAUUUUUGGACCCCAUGUUUGUUGGAAGAUUGACAAAAGCAGAUGGAAUAAAUAUUUUUUUUGAAAACCCUGUUUGAGCUUUUUUCAGCUCUCUUUAUCCUUCCCCUUUGCUGCAAAAAAUCAUUAGGUUUUCUUAGGUUGAUCAGGAGUCUUCAUAAUGCUAAAUUCAUUCCUUUUUUAUUUGGUUUUUAAGGUUGAAUAAAUCCCUCAGAAUUUGCAAAAAAAACAAAUGGUUCUGUUGUUGUCACAAUUUUUUGUUCCAACGUAUGCUCUGAUUCUGACUCGGUUUCGUACGAUAUCUGACCAUCCUAGGUAUAUUUUGUCACUCAUGACAUGUUAAAAAAUUGACGUACACCUUUAUUAGGUCCUAGGGAUCAUUGUUCUUAGGGCAGACUCUCAGUCAGAUUUGGAUGCUUGGCAUUGUCAGAUCAAGAACCUUUUUUACCAACCAUAUUACUGCCACUCCUUCAUCAAAUUUGUAGUCCGGGACACGUAUAUGAAUUUGAACUUUCAAAUUGCUUGAUUUCAAUAUCAGAAGCUCAAGAUAUUCCUGUUUGAAAUCUAGCGUGAAAACAUAAAAUCCUGCCGCGAAAAGGUUUCCAGUCGAGUUUGGUUGCAAUUCUGUUAUUCAAAACGAAUUUAUCUCACUUUGAAUCCUUCAUCAAAGUUGUAUUCUGGGACACGUAGAUGAAUUUGGGCUUUUGAAUCGCUUGAUUUCAAAAUCAAAAGCUCAAGAUAUUCCCGUUUGAAUAUCUAGUGUUGAAAGCAGGGAUUCCUGGCCGCGAGAAGGAUUUUUGCCCAAGUUCGUGGGACUGAUUUGAAGGAUUUUUUUUUUACCAAGGACUGAAUUGAAAUGUGCUAAAAUGAGGGAUUGAAUUAAAGAAGGACAUUGAAAGCUGGAGAGGGGAGCUAGAUCAUCAUAAAUGACAUGUUUUUACCACACCGAAUAAGGAAAAUAGGACUUUGCAGUUGCACCCUCCAUCUGAUUUCUUUCCUUUUUUCUCUGCUAUUUUCCUUUCUCAUCACGCCUGAUUUUUGGAGCUGAAGACCACGUUUUUGUUGCCUCAUUUCAAAGGGAGCAGCUGGCCCUAUGGAAGGAAAGAAAAGAGCCACACCUUCCUCUAAAACUGGAAAGAAAUCAGACGUAAAGCACUAACACAAAAUCAGAAUAUUGCGAUUUUCUUUUUGCGUUUCUUUUACUGCAAAUCAGUAGGGAUUUGCGUCCUAGGAUUAAUGCAUUGAAUCCUUCCUAAAUAGAGACAUAUUUAGACUAUAUAUAAGCCCUUCUAAUGACCUAACGGGGGCAGCAAAAAGAGAGCAGAAAAAUAAGAAAAGAGAGGAGAGAAUAGAGAACGAGAGAGAGAGACAACAAAAGAAAAACCAGAAAGACGUCUUUGCUCCAUUUGUUUUUCUGCAAAUAAAAACUGCAGAAACGGGAAAAGAAAGUUAGGAAUCAGUAGAGAAAGUGAUGGAGGUGCAGAGUCAAGAAGGAGGCAAUAAGCAGACCUAAACACAGAACAGAAGAAGGACACAGACCGAACAACCAUCACUCUUUCAACGCCACUGCAGUUUCUUCGUCUCCAGGUUUGUUUUCUCUUCACCUGUUGCAUGCUUUGUUUUUCUUUGUGUGUGCACUGUUAGCGUGGUCUCGUUACUUUGUGUUGUUUUUGUGUCUGUACUGUUCAAGUAAAUUAAUUCACUUGAACAGUAGCUCUCCAUUCACAAAAGAGGACUGCGCCCCUUUUGUGUCCAGCCUGGUCACUUGCCUCAAUUCUUUUUAAAAAAAAAAUAAAAGAAAGAGAAAGAGAUUUAUUUUCUGGAAUAUUUAUUUUAAAUUCUGAAUAUUUUUUUAUGUUGUAAAAAAUAUAUAUACCAAUCUCGUAUUUAGAAUGCCAGGUUUUCGACGCAAUUGUGGCAAAUAUACAUAUAUAUAUCAAAAUUUGUUUUCUUGUGUGUUACAUACGGCUAAUACCCUAACAUGUUUUGAAUUUUUUUUAUACAAAAAAUAUUGGAAGUUUUGAAAAUGUGUUUUCGCAUGGAUUUCUUAAACACAAAAAAAAAUUUGUUUUCUUGCAUUUCUGGAUUUUACAACAUGUUUGUAAAACUCCAAAGGGUACUGGCCAAUAUUCCAAAAAAUAUAAAAAUCUUAUUUUGGAGGGAAUUCAUCUAUUAUUCACCGCUAAUGUUUGGAUAAAGAAAUCCUUAAAGGACAAAUAUGCAAAAUAUUAUUAGGAAUAAUUUGUUAUUAUUCACUGUUAAUAUUUGGAUAAAGAAACCCGGAGUGGUAAAUAUCCAAGAUAAUUUUCUAGGAAUAAUAAAUCCACACACAUCUUUGAAAGAAGCCUUGAUUAUAAUCGAGGACAUUUCAAAUUUUUUUACUCCACGAUUUACGAGUCGUGAAAGUAUAAAACACUAAGGCAAAAAUAGGCUUUUAAAGCGCCCUAGAUUUCUAAAUUUUUGUCCCUCCUCCUUGUGAUUUACGAGUCGCAAACUCUUGAAAUACUAAGGGAAAAAUGAGCUUUUGAAGCACAUGGAAUCUCCUUGGAUUUCUAUCUUAAUCAAUUUAGCUUGAAUCAAACCUAAGAAAACUGAUGGGAUUAGAAAACACCAACACCAUAGCAAUUAUAAAGCAAACCAAACACCAAGCAGCUUACCUUAGGUAGGGCAUACUAGGGGUGUUAAUACCUUCCCUUUACGCAACUAGUCUCUUGCCUUAGAAUCUCUGAAAGACUAGUUAGGGUUCCUAGUGACCAUAAUACUAGGUGGCGACUCCCCCUUUUACAUAAAUCAAAACAAAAAAGACCCCGAAAUCAAUCGAGGAUCGUUGCGCUCCACCGCGAGGGUGCGACAAACCUCACCAUUCCUGUUAAAAACAACUUGUUCAUCCAGAAUAGCAUCAAUAUUAUCUUUUUGUGCUGAUGUCAAGGUGAAAGGGAUAGAGGUUUCAAUAGGAUCAUUAGGAGGGGAGUUAAGUGGUAUCUCAAAUGGAUCAUUUGGAAUAGGAAGUGGUUUGUGGUAUGCAACUAGAUCCUCAAUGUUAAAUAUAGAGCUAAUGCCAAAAUCAUAUGGUAAAUCAAGAACAUAAGCAUUUGGACCAACCCGUUGUAGCACUUUGAAAGGCCCGGCACUACGUGCAUGCAAUUUUCGAUUAGCUCCCGAAGGAAACCGCUCGGGUCUAAUCCAUAUCAUAACAUAGUCUCCCACAUUAAACUCAUUAUGUCGUCUAUAUAAAUCAGCUUGAAGUUUAUAUUGCGCAUUACUUGCUUGAAUCUGUUUAGUGAUCUCAAUAUGCAAAUCCUGAAUUCUAUGUGCAAAAGACUCGGCUGACUCAAACACUCUAGCAUGAAGGGACAUGGGAAAAGGUCUAAAGGUUUCCUAGGUUUGUAACCAUGUACAACUUCAAAGGGACUCAUGCCUAUUGACCUAUUGAUAGAGCUAUUAUAGGCAAACUGGGUCGUAGGAAGAAUCAGAUCCCAAUUCCGAUUAUGAUCACUCACUAGACACCUUAAAAUGUUGCCCAAACUCCUGUUAACAACCUCAGUUUGACCAUCAGUUUGAGGGUGGUAAGCAGUAGAAAACUUCAAUUUGGUUCCCACCAUAUGCCAAAGGGUUUUCCAGAAAUAACUUGUAAAUCUAACAUCCCUAUCCGAAACUAUGGUUUGGGGAAGACCAUACAACUUGACAAUCUCGUCAAAGUAGAGUUUUGCAACUCUGGAAGCAUCUGUGGUCUUAGUACAAGGAAUAAAAUGGGUCAUCUUAGAGAAGCAGUCGACAACCACAAAAAUAGAAUCAUGUUUCUUUGCGCAAAAUCCAUGCUUACAUCUUGCCAAGGGCAAGUAGGAACGGGCAAUGGGAUGUAAAGACCAGUAUUUUGUUUUCUAUGCUUAGCUAAUUGGCAAGUUCGACGUUGACUUGCCAAUUUGGCGACAUCUCUUUUCAAACUAGACCAAAAAAACUGACGUUCCACCUCUUCGAUGGUUUUAUUCCUUCCAAAAUGUCCUGAGAGACCUCCAGCAUGAAUCUCCCAUAUCAAAAAAUCACGCAUGGAUGUUUUCGGGAUACAAAGCUUAUUAUCUCGAAAUAAAUAUCCAUCUUGGAGGUAAUAACCAUUUAUAACACAGUGAUUCUUAUCUUUCAAUGUCAAGUAUAUUUCUCCAAAUUCUAAGAAAAAAGGAGGAAUAACAUUGCCUGUGUUUUUCGUUUGUAAUCCAUUCUCACACCUUGCUUUGCGUCGUACUGUAGGCCUAGAAGAAUUGAAGAUUUAUUAUCAACAUUUGAGCAAAUUGAGUUUUGAGCUGUUGAAAUAAAAAAAAACCUCUGUCUUACACUGAAACAGAGACGUGCGUUUGUAGGCCUAGAAGAAUUUGUUAUGCUACCAUUCAUUUUCAUUGAAGCUAGAAUUUUCGACAUUGGAAAUCUCAUCUGGCAAAUCAACAAAAUUCUUCAUAUUUUCUGUGACCUGUAACUGCCUUUAGCCAUAUUACCAUCAUAGCUAUGAACAAAAACACCACUAUCGACUGCUACAACAUAGUCCAUGGCAGCUAGAUGGUUUUGGGAGUCCUUAUUUGGCUUCAAUUCUUCUUCCUUUUCCAGAGAGAAAUGAGCGUAUAUAUUUAGGUACUUAGCUCCGAGUGAUUUAAUUCCGUCACGACCAUAAUUUUUCCCUGCAGAAGUAAAUCCCAUCGCCUUAAGAAACACUGCAACUAAUCUCUGUUGUAGUCAUGGGGCAAAACCCUUCAAAUCACUGCUUUGUGCCUUUGAUCAUUUUGUUCUCCGAUGUGCUACUCCAUUUAUUCCGUUAACUCCUUAUUCUCAGUUUCUGUAAGAAUGUGAUGGCAACCUGUGAAAGCCAGCAUGCCUUUUUCAUAUCUCCAAUCGGUGCUGCUUAGUUAGCAAGAUCUAGCAAAGUUAUCGUGUCAUGUUGUUUUUUCAGGUGCCUCAAGGGAAGAGCCAUGAACGGUCGACCAUCAUUCCUGAGUCUUGAGCAGCUUUUUGCGAGGGAGUUCUGACCACAUUAAAUGAUUAUAAGAGUGUGUUUGGUAUUGUGGUAACUGUUGUGGUUGUGGUUUAAAAAAAGUUGUUUUAAAAAAAGUACUUUUAGUUGUGGUUGGUUUGAAAAAAUAGGUGUUUGGUUAAAACUGUGGUUGAAAUUGAGGUUGAAUAAAAAGUAAUUUAAUGUGUUUGGUUAAGAAUAAUUUUGAAAUUAAGGUUAUAAAAUAAUUUUAAAAAAUAUAUAUUAAUAUUGAUGGUUUUAAAUUUAAAUAUUGUAGAAUUAAUUACUCCUAUUACAUCAUGAAAUAAAUAAUACUUUAUAUAUAAUAUUUUUUAUUAUUCCAUUAAACUAUUUAUAAUUCCAUUACGUACAAAAUUUAUCCGAUAAGAACUACAGUUUUCAUAAUAUUUUGAACGUGUAAUAAAAUUAGAUAAAAUAUUACCAGGUAUAAAAUUGAUAUUAUAGUGCGAGUGAAUUUAAUUCACUAUAUACUAGUUUUUCAGGAAAAAAAAUAUUGUUCACAUCAUAGUGCGAAUAAAUUUAAUUUACUCUAAAACUAAUUUUUUUUUAUAUGUAUUAAAAAAAAAAAGUGUGUGAACAGUGCAAGUGAAUUGCACUGUUCACGUGAACAGUGCAAUUCAUGCUUGAACAGUGUGCGCUACACUGUUCAUGCUAAUUAAAUUUAGCGUGAACAGUGUCCACAAAGCAGCAAAAUGCUGCUUCUUUCUUUCCUGCGUCUCGGACGCGAAAAAUCAUGAGGCCCAUACACAGUAAAAUGUAUUCUUUUUGUUACCAAACGGGUUGCAUCUGCGUUUUAAACAAAACGCGGACGCAACCUAAUUGGCAAACGGGUUCUAACAAAACAUAGGGUACAUAUGGGUAGAUUUAGCCAUUUAGGGAUGUGACCCAGAAUAAUUCAUAUAAAGAAACACUUAAUAUGAAUUACAUUUAUUAAAUAAAAUUAUUUAACAUCAAUAUCAACUAUUUUAAUAAUCAAAAUCAUCAUUAAUGAUAUUCUUUUUCUAUAUUAAUAUAUUAAAACAAUAUGAUAUAAAAAUACUAAUAAAUUUUUAAUUUAAAAUAAAUAAUUUUUUUAAAAAUAUAAAAAUAAAUAAGUUGAGGGUAGGAUUGUUAACCUUCAUUUCACAUCAGUGCCUUCUUUUAUGGACCAAAACCCAGAAAAAAAAAUCUCAAGCUUUAUACACGGGCAAAAAAAGGCAGUCUUUACUUAUAUUUAGCUUUAUCCGCGUGCUUAUAUGUAUAAAGAAGACAAAUAUGGAGGUGGGUUUGGGGUGUUAUUGUUGAUAUUGGAGUGUGGAAGUGAUCACGGAGGCUUUGUAUACUGCAAAUUUUUGGAUGUCAUAUUACUAGACUGUCCUUGCUACUCAUAGAAAGGAGGUGAGUGAUGUACUAAUUAGACCAUGGAUGUUGAGAUAUUUGUUUAUUGGCUGCUGAAAGCUGAUAUAUCUUGAUUUCUUGGUGUGUGCAGGCGCAGGAUUGAAGAAAGUGAGGUUUUGCUUUCUGGGUUAUUUCUGUCGAAACAGGUAAAAGGUUAGGUUUUUCAAGUGUAAUUAUUGAGAUGUUUUUAGUUAUUCAAGAACAAAAAAAUGACUAAAGAGAGGAAAUUGAGCUGUUCUGUUUUGCGGGUAGAUAAAAAUCUGUGCAGAAAGAGUGAAACUUUGAAAGAUAUUAGGAAACGAAGAAUUGAGUUCUUUGUAUGGUAUUCUGAUUGAAAAGAGGGGAGAGUAUUUUGGUUAGUUAUAUAACUAACCAAAAUGGAGAACCCCUUCUCGUCGAAAGAAAUGUGGAUGGGUUAUUGGGCUUGGCCAAGAGCUCAAAUAGAUUGUGUCACACCUUUCGAUGUUUCUCUUAGGAAUUCAUUGUUGGAGGACCCAUUCAACUUUUUUUCAGAGCUUAGUAAUUUUGAUAUGUAUGCUGGAUGGUGCGACAGCCCGUUAGCUAUGGAUCAAAUGCUUGCUUUCGAUGGGAUGCCAUCUUUUCCAUCAACAUCCUAUCCAUCCUGCGUCCAGAAAGUUUUGCAGAACAAACUUCUGCUCCCUUACUGGAUAAAAUAAAUGCUUCUGAGACUUCUUACAAUGGUGGAGAUAAUGUGGUGCUUCAGGAAACGUAUUCCUAUUUUGGUUAUCCCUCAGAUUCCAUGGAUGCUGAUGAUCUGGGUGCAAAACACAGUAGUGGUGCUGGUCCACAAAACUGUUUCUAAAACACCUCUUGUAUUAUUUCUCAGCCAACUGGGCCAUCAUCACUUGCUGAGAGGAUGCUAAGGGCAUUAUCCUUGUUCAAGGAUUCAUCUGUAGGGGUUAUUUAAGUGCAGGUGUGGGUUCCCAUAAGGAGCGGGGAUCAAUACUUGUUGAGCACCUCAGAGCAACCAUUCUUGGUGUGACCAAAUUCUAGCAUGGUUUACCACUAGACCUUCCUGGUCGUCUGUUUAUCUCUAAGGUUCCAGAAUGGACUUCAAGGGUAAUUUAUUAUAGCAAGCCUGAGUACUUACGAGCAAAGCAUGCAUCUGAUCAUGAAGUACGAGGUUCUUUUGCAUUGAUCUUUGAUCCAGAUGAGAUGUCCUGCUGUGCUGUUCUGGAACUUGUCUCUGUGAAGGAGAAACCAGAAUUUAAUUCAGAGAUGAAAAUGUUUAGCUUCACUUUACUGUAUACUAUAUUGCAGAAGCUUUUGUUCUCUUCUAUCUUUAGAUGACAAAUUAUGUAACUUGACUAGCAACCUGUUUUCACUUAUUUGCAAUAACUUCGUGGUCUUGCAUAUUCUGCAUCGUUUAAGGAGAGAGAACAAAAUGUUGUUCAUAAAUAAGUUUCUCCCUUUAAGAUCCUCUUGUUCCAGCUUAUGCAAUAUAUUUGGAUUGGAGUCCAGCUUUAAGUACUUACUCUUGGUAUGUUGUUGAUAAAUAAGUUCCUUUCCCUUGCUACUAUGUUUUAGAACCAUAAUAUGCUGUAUUUUGAACAGGAAAUUGUUAGAUUUAUCUGCAUUUUUGCAAUAACUUCGUGGUCUUGCAUAUUCUGCAUCGUUUAAGGAGAGAGAACAAAAUGUUGUUCAUAAAUAAGUUUCUCCCUUUAAGAUCCUCUUGUUCCAGCUUAUGCAAUAUAUUUGGAUUGGAAUCCAGCUUUAAGUACUCACUCUUGGUAUGUUGUUGAAGAAUUACCUGGGGAACAAGGUUCUAAAGUUGGGAUUGAGGAAGGACCUGUACAAAGCAUCCCACCAGUAAAAACUGCAUUGUUUAAAGGGGACUUGAACUUGAUUGAUGGGAUUCCUCUUCCUGAAUCUGGUUCAGAAAAUGUUGGUGUGGAAUCGGAUGGUCCUUAUGUACAGGUAACAUUCUUAAACCACUUCAUCCAUAUUUGCGUCCCUUGUGUUUGGCCUUUUGUUUCGGUUCAAGUUGGCCUCAUUUGCAAGCUGCCUCCAGUAUUUGGCCAUGCCCAAUGCUUUUCAAAAAUUUGCUUGCUUAGAGGGAAAAAAAAGAUGAUACCCAAUAUUUUUAUAGCUCAGAAAGGGAUUUUAUGUAUUAGCUUACCUUUUCUGGCCCUCUUGCAGCUAGAAAAAACAAUGAUAAAAUUGAACCUGCUCCAGAUCCUGAUGGUAAACGACAAAAGGUAUCUGAAGUCUGGAAAGAUUUCGAUAAGUUUAUAGACAAAGAAAAUAAAGUAUGGGCCAUAUGUAAAGGAUGUAAAAAGAAGUAUACAGGGGAUAGCAAGAUGGGGACUUCAAAUCUACACAAACACUUGAAAAGUUGUUCAAGAAAGAGACAGAGAGAUGCAAAACAACAUAGAUUUCCUUCUGAUUUGGGAGGGAAUUUUGUAUUUGUUCAAGAAAGGAGUCGCCUUAACCUUGCUAGAAUGAUUAUGAAGCUCGGAUGUCCAUUGGAUCUGGUUCAAAAUGAGUUCUUCAAAACAUUUGUCUGCGAUCUGAAGCCAAAGUUUCAACUCUGUUCACAAGACACUGUUCAGGCUGAUGCUAUUUCUAUUUACAGACAAUAGAAAGAGAAACUAAUGAAAUAUCUUGAUAAUCUCUCAUCUCUAUUCAGUUUAACAAUUGAUUUGCAGUCAUACGGUGAUAACAAGAUGUCAUGCUGCUUGACUAUGCAUUUUAUUGAUGAUGGGUGGAGGAUGAAUAAGAAGAUUUUGGCUUUCAGGAGUAUAGAACAUGAUUAUAUGAAUGAAGCUGUGAAAGAUGUGCUAGUGGAGUGGAACAUCAACAAGAAAGUGCACUUCAUGUUUGCAGAAAUUGCUCCUCCAAACAGUCAAAUGACUAGAGAAUUCAGAAGUCAGCAUCUCGGUCAAUUCGCACAUAUGAAUUGGGACUAGCUAUGUUUUUCAUGCCAUGCACAACUCUUGAACUUGUUGCUGGAGAUGGGUUUUAUGAGAUAAAAGACGUGCUUAACAAGAUUAGGGGCUGUAUUGUAUAUGUGAAUGCAACACCAAUUAACCAAGAUAAGUUUCGGGAAGCAAUUAAUAAUGUGAAAUUGCAAGAUAUGAAAGCAGCCUCUCAUGAUGAUCCUACCACAUGGGAUGCCACAUUUGUCAUGCUCAUGAGUGCAUUGGAAUUAAGAGAAGCUUUUUCUCAACUCGAGCAAGUUGAUUUUGAUUUUAAGGUGAAUCCAUCCAAAGAGGAGUGGAAGAAGGCAAUGGUUGUAAGUGGGUGUUUAAAAGUGCUAAACAAAUAUUUAGGCAGUUCUUCAUCAAAGCAUAGAUGCAUUCUUCCUCAAUGUUUGCUAUAUUUAUAAGAACUUGCUUUCUUGGGGAAAGAGUGAGCACACAUAUGUUUGAAAUUACUCAAUUAAGAAAACCUUGUUAGCGUUUUUUUUUAGUCUAGAAAAACACAAGGAUGAAAUUGAAAACAAUUAAAGUAUAAGAAUAGAGGAAAAAUAUCAGUAAAUUUAAAGGGGCAGAAAAUAAGUUAGUUUUAAAACCCAAAGCCAAAAAUCAACAAGUCAACCUCCUUCAAGUCUGUAACCGCUCCUCAUCGUUCCACUUUCCAGCCAUGGAUAAGAUGAUCUGAGGAGUGAGAAGAAUUGUCGCGGACAAAAUUGUCGAAAUACAAAUGGAUUUGGAACAUUUGUCUUGCGUCGAUGAUGAUUUGCCUCCUGCAACGUCGAGUCUAUGGGAAAAGAUGGGAAAAGCGUUAUCGUUGCUUAAAAAUUCUUUAGGAAUCGGCCUGCAAAAUCUCCCUUACCCUCACUUGUGCGUCCCAAAUUCUACGCUUCUUGAAUAUCGUCAACUGGAGGGUAUUAUUGCCUUUCCGGUCUUUGAUUCUGAUCAACCCAUGCAUUGCCGUGCUGUGCUGGAGCUUGUGACCAUGGAUGAGAAACGGGAUUUUGAUUUAGAGACGGAAAAAGGUUUCCAGGUUUGUUUUCAUAUCCGGAUUUAGGAGAAUAAGAAAGAGAUGAAAGAAAGUAGCUUUCCUUAGCAUAUCGAGUUUGAAGUCAAAGUUAUUGUCUGUUCUACUUUCGAAAUCUCAUGAAAUGUGAAUUUUCCCCUCAGCUUCAUUUUCUGUGAUCUCUGUGUUUGCAUUUGCUAGUGUUUCUGAGGUGAAACAAUCUUUAAGCUUUAAAUUAGAGCUCAUGAGGCAUUCAGUAUUACAACUGCAUGCAUUAGCUUGAGUCCAAAAUAUUUGUGCCAUUAAAAUAUAUGGGCAAAGAGGCAUUGGUCUUGUUUGAUGGUGUUAUAAACUCUGUAUAAGCCCAACUGUUUGCAGGCUGCGGAUUUACGGAUCAAUUUACAACCUCGACUUCGUCCUGAGGUAUUUAUCAGUAGUACCUUACAGAUUUUUCUAUGCUAAAUUAGGUUGUCUUCUGCUUUGUCUAAUAGAAUUUUUUUUCCCAGUGUUUUUCAAGGGAUCAAAGAGCUGAGUUAACUGAAAUCGCUAAUGUUACCACAGCUGUAUGCCAAACACACAGAUUGCCACUUGCUCUGACAUGGAUUCCUUGUGAUUAUACCUGGGGAGCUGUUGAUGAUAUUUCAAAAUUGCGUGUCAGAUUACGUGAUUCAAGGAUGAUCCGGAAAUGUGUAUUUUUCAUAGAGCGUACAUCUUGUUAUGCCGAUGAGGAGAUGCAAGACUUUGUGCAUGCUUGUGAGCAACUAUUUAUGCACAGUUGGCAAGGUGCUGCUGGACGAGCCUUUAUAAAAUAUCUUCCUUCCUUUGAGCCUGAUGUGAAGGAAAAUCAUGUAAGCGAGUAUCCUCUUGCUCAUCACGCACAAAAGUAUAAUUGGAAUGCUGCAGUUGCAAUCUGGCUAAGGGGCAGUGAUGCUGAUUAUAACUAUAUAUUAGAGUUCUUUCUCCCUAUCCUCAUGAAAGAGAGUUCAGAGCAGCAAGGCUUGGUUAGGAACCUGAAGCUUACACUACGGAAAACUUGUAAGAGCUUGAGAAUGUUUUCAAAAGAAGAAUUACUCUGGGAACGAGGUUCUAAAGUUAGUAAAAACAAUGCUAAAAUUGAACCUGCUCCAAAUGCUGAUGGUAAUAUGUUCACCGUAUGUGCUAAUAAUAAAGACGAAAGGUAUCUGAAGUGCGGAAAUGGUUCGAUGAGGUUAUAGAAGAAAAUGGUGCAGGUAAAGGAUGCAAGAACAAGUAUACAGGGGAUAGCAAGAAGGGAACCUCAAAUCUACACAAACACUUAAAAAGUUAUUCAAAAAAUGGACGAAGAGAUGCAAAAACAAAUAUGCUUGUUCAAUGGCGAAGAGAAUGAAGUUAUCUGGCAUCACCUUCUAAGGACACCAGUUGUCUGACAUCACAUGAUCCAGAUUCUGAUGAUAAGUUUCGGGGAUUCUGUGAGUGGCAUAAGCAGAAAGAUGAUGGCGAUGUGGUUGAUUCACAAAAACUUGAUCUUAAUCGGUAUUUAGGAGAGCCUUUGGAAAACCGCGAUAAGGUUUCAGAUGUAUUAGCUUGGUGGCGAGUCAAUACUCCAAGAUUUCCAGCACUUGGUAAAAUGGCUCGUGAUUUCUUAGCAAUUCCAAUAUCAGCUAUUCUAUCAAAGUCUACUAUCAAUGGUUUCAGGCUUUAAUAUGUGGACAGGACUGGUUGGAAAGUCCCGAAAACAAUUGAGUUCUUCACUUUCUAGAGACAGGUGAAUCCAAAAUGAUUCUUCCCCCUAAAUUUCUAAACAUUGUUUUCCUGUUUUUUUUUUUUCCUGCCAUUAUUUGUUAAUGAAAUUUGGCUGCAAAGUCACACACUUCCCUUGUAAUGAUUAUUAACAGGGUCAUGAUGCUAAAACAAUAGCAAAAGCUAAAUUUGAUAUGCAUUUCCCAGUGUUGGGAUCAGUGGCCUAUUUACAGGGUAACAACGAGUCUCCUUCUAACUUCUCAACAGUUGGUUUUAUCAUUCCUAAUUAUUUGAUGAUUUAACAAGUAUAAACUGAAUCAUUCCAUAUCACAUGUCUAAGAAUGACUUAUUGGGCCUAUGUUGGGUUAAUUGAGUCCAUACAUAAGGUUCAUAAAAGAAUAUAUGAUUAUUAUUUGGACAAAUAAAAAUAAUCGGACCUUUACUUGGAUAAUCUAUGCCAUUUCGUUGCUUGUUAUUGCAUUCUGCAAUUUCUGCUACUAGACACGAGCUUUACUUGGCGUACAUUUUUUCUGUCAGUGUUUGUAUUUGUACUUGGCAUACAUUUUGAAGUCAAAGUUUUUGUCUUUUCUACUUUCAAAAUCUCAUAAAAUAAUUGGUAGACAUUGGUCUUGUUUGAUGGUGUUAUAAACUCUGUAUAAGCUCAGCUCUUCAUUAAUUUGGGUCUAUUUUGUUUCACCAGGCUUUGUUGUUCGCUUUGUGGGGGUUUGAAUAUGAAUACUGCUUGCAAGAAUUGUGGCUCCAUAUAUACUCGUGGGGCUUGGGUUGUGUUCAACCAUGGUUGUCCGUGGGCCCAAGAUUCAACCAUGGUUGUGCGUGGCCCAUAAAAUGUGAAUUUCCCAUAGACUGAGAAAUUCACAUUUUAUGAGAUUUUGAAAGUAGAAAAAACAAUAAUUUUGACUUCAAACUCGAUAUGCUAAGGAAAGCUACUUUCUUUCAUCUCUUUCUUAAAUCAUCGUCGACGGAAGACCAUGGUUGUGUUCAACCAUGGUUAAACAAUUGUGCGUGGGCUCAAGUAAACUCUCAUGAGCCCACGCACAACCAUGAUUAAAAAAUAUCAUUGAUAAUAAUUUUGAUUAUUGAAAUAGUUAAAAUUGAUAUUAAAUAAUUUUAUUUAAUAAGUAUAGUUCAUAUUAUGUAUUUUUUUAUUCCUUUAAAAAUACCUAAAAAUAGAUCUGAACACAAUUGUUUAAUAAGUAUAGUUCAUAUUAAAAGUAUGGUUACCAAUUGUGGAUAUGCGAAGGAAAGUAAAACCACAACCAUGGUUUUACAGCACUCAAGAAUCCAGUAUCGUGUUUUAGCAGCAUUUUCUCUUCAGAAUGUUGAUACGUUCCUUCCCAGCCAGCACUAGGACCCAAGCACCACGAGUGCGUGUAUAAAUAUAGCCACAAUUCUUGCAAGCAGUAUUCAUAUUCAAACCCCCACAAAGCAAACGACAAAGCCUGGUGACACAAAAUAGACCCACGAUCAAAUUAAUGAAGAGCUGAGGAAAGAGCUGCACUUACCGUAUACCAUAAGUAUUCUUGCAUAUAAACCUGAAUAUUCAGGUGAUUCUUUUCUCGAUAAAAAAACAGUCCAAAUCCUUGAGUGUCACUUUUUGUUCUUUCUUGUUUGCAACUUUUUUGGCAUUUUAUUCUGCCAAUUAACGUAAUUAUUGAGACACACGGUGGCAACUAUGGAAUCGAGGAACUCUCGCAGUGCUAUAAAUUGAUUCGGCGUUUUCUUUUCUAAAGCAUCGAAAUAUGCUCUUCAUCUACCUCUCUUCCUGAACGUUCAUCCACGUACUGACACACAGAUCUCCAUAAUCAGGAAAGAGCUGCACUGACUGUAUACCAUAAGUAUUCUUGCAUAUAAACCUGAAUAUUCAGGUGAUUCUCGAUCUGUUUCUUUUUUACAACAAUAAUUUAAGGUUUUUUGCAUUUUUUCCUGUGUGCAAAUAUUUCUCUCUGAGCUCUUGAGUUAAUUUGUUUCUCUCUGUGAAAAAACUAAAAAAGAAGAAGAGAGAGGAUUUACCAUUGUUUCUCUACGUUUCUCCAUUUUCUUUGUUCUUUUCUCUCUGUACAUCAUUAUUACAUUCUCCAUUCUACCACUUGUAGACUUGCUAUACUGCUGCCAGUAUUUAUUCUUUAAAUAUUUUUUUAAUUUAAAAACGGAAGUUUUUUUCGUUUCUUAUAAAUUAUUUCCUAGUCUUCUCAAGCUUUAUAGCAUACAGCACAGCAAAACCAUGGAGAAUGAUGCUCCAGAAUCUGUGUCCCGACUCUGGCACAGAGCACGACAACUAGCAUCACAGCAGCUAACACGUCUCGGAGAAGAUCUGGUCGACAAUCCCCAUGAUGAGCGGGAAAAGGAAUGGCAAAAGGUGCUUAUAAGCACUUGCUUCACAUCAGGAAUUGAAAUAGCCCUUCAUUUUCACCAAAUUACUGAUUCCAAACUCGAUUCCUUGCAUUUUGUCUGUAUCCUUGUUGCAAUUAUCUUUUCUUGCCUCUUUGUUUCACAUUUUAUCAACCCCGCCAAGUUUCCGAUGACAUCCAAAGUAUUGGGUAAAGUUGCUGUUUUCCUGGCAGCCACCGUGUUUUUCAUCACCAUUUCAAUCCCAUUCCCCCCUGGUGUCAAGUGGGCUACUUGGAUAAUCUAUGCCAUUUCGUUGCUUGCUAUUGCAAUCUGCAAUUUCUGCUACUAGACAUGAGCUUUACAUGGCAUAUGUUUUUUCUGUCAGUGUUUGUAUUUGUUCUUCGAAACAAGGCUUCCAUUUGCAUGUUGGAAGGUGUUGAAAUUCAGUGUAAUCACGGUGUUAUGUAUAACCAUUGAUCAAUACAAUAUAAUAUGUAGUAUCUAUGAGCUAAGAAUGUAGAAAGGACGUUAUCAUCAAGCCAGAUGUAUGGUCUCAUGGAGCAUAAUUCUCGCCGAGUUAAAUAAUAAUUAUUGCAUUGAACAACAAUCUCACUAGCAGAAACAAGUAUAGAACAGGUGAACUUAAAAUCGUUCAGCUAAGCAAACAAGAACUCUUAGAAAAAAUUCUGACCUACCAUUCAGUGAGGAAUCGAAGACGUAUUGGAUUAACUUCAAGUCCUCUGGACUGGUGGGUUUGCUCACUGUAAACGGACCAACUAGAUAUUUAGACAUUUGCUUCACAAGUGAGUCAGAUCUCACAUUUAAGGAGACCAGAGAAGAACCAGAAAUCCCUUCCUUGCUCCUGCAAAUAUGGACGACAAGAACAAAUUGAGAAAAAUGAUCAUCCCAUAAAAUGUCAACAUUUUAUCGAAAUUGGUUACAUGUUCAGUGCCCUCCAAUCAACUUCGGGUGACGAAAACUAUAGUUACAACAGAACAAUCACGUUCACAUGUUGUCAACGCGUAAGACAUAUGCUAAUACCUUAAAAAAACAAUCUGGUUAAACAAAUUGAUACUAUAAUUUAUGAACGUUGCACCAUCAAGCUUAGGAAAUGCAUAUCAAAUUUAGCUUUUGCUAUUGUUUUAGCGUCAUGACCCUGUUAAUAAUCAUUACAAGGGAAGUGUGUGACUUUGCAGCCAAAUUUCAUUAACCAAUAAUGGCAGCAAAAAAAAAACAGGAAAACAAUGUUCAGAAAUUUAGGGGGAAGAAUCAUUUUGGAUUCACCUGUCUCUAGAAAGUGAAGAACUCAAUUGUUUUCAGGGCUUUCCAACCAGUCCUGUCCGCAUAUUAAAGCCUCUAUAUGAUCUCUGGCCUGAAACCAUUGAAUGCAACUGCACCGCUGAUAGUAGACUUUGAUAGAAUAGCUGAUAUUGGAAUUGCUCAGAAAUCACGAGCCAUUUUGGAUUCACCAAGUGCUGGAAAUCUUGGAGUAUUGACUCGCCACCAAGCUAAUACAUCAGAAACCUUAUCCCGGUUUUCCAAAGGCUCUCCUAAAUACCGAUUAAGAUCAAGUUUUUGUGAAGCAACCACAUCGCCAUCAUCUUUCUGCUUAUGCCACUCACGGAAUCCCAGGAACUUAUCAUCAGAAUCUGGAUCAUGUGAUGUCAGACAAGUGGUGUCCUUAGAAGGUGAUGCUAGAUAACUUCAAUAUCUUCGCCAUUGGACAAACAUAUUUGUUUUUGCAUCUCUCCGUCUAUUUUUUGAAUAACGUUUUAAGUGUUUGUGUAGAUUUGAAGUUCCCUUCUUGCUAUCCCCUGUAUACUUGUUUUUGCAUCCUUUACAUAUGGCCCAUACUGCACAAAUUUCUUCUAUAACCUUAUAGAACCAUUUCCACACUUCAGAUACCUUUCGCUGUUUAUUAUCAGCACAUAUGAUGAACAUAUUACCAUCAGGAUCUGGAGCAGGUUCAAUUUUAUCAUUGUUUUUACUAACUUUAGAACCUCGUUCCCCGAGUAAUUCUUCUUUUGAAAACAUUCUCAAGCUCUUACAAGUUUUCCGUGGAGUAAGCUUCAGGUUCCUAACCAAGUCUUGCUGCCCUGAACUCUCUUUCAUGAGGAUAGGGAGAAAGAACUCUAAUGUAUUGAUAUAAUCAGCAUCAGUGCUCCUUAGCAGGAUUGCAACCGCAGCAUUCUAAUUAUACUUUCGUGCGUGAUGAGCAAGAGGAUACUCGUUUACAUGCUUUUCCUUCACAUCAGGCUCAAAGGAAGGAAGACAUGUUUGACAGGCUUGUCCAGCAGCACCUUGCCCUGUGUUCAGAAAUAGUUGCUCACAAGCAUUCACAAAGCCUUGCAUCUCCUCAUCUGAAUAACAAGCUGUACGCUCUAUUGAAAGUUCACAUGUCCUCAAAAAACCUGAAUUACAUAAUCUGACAUGAGAUUUUGAAAUAUCAUCAACAGCUCCCCAGGUAUAAUCACAAGGAAUCCAUGUCAGAGCAAGUGGCAAUCUGUGUGUUUGGCAUACAGCUCUGGUAACACUAGCGAUUUCUGUUAACUCAGCUCUUUGAUCCCUUGAAAAACACUAGGAAAAAAAUUCAAUUAGACAAAGCAGAAGACAACCUAAUUUAGCAUAGAAAAAACUGUAAGGUACUACUGAUAAAUACCUCAGGACGAAGUCGAGGUUGUAAAUUGAUCCGUAAAUCGGCAGCCUGCAAACAGUUGGGCUUAUACAGAGUUUAUAACACCAUCAAACAAGACCAAUGUCUCUUUGCACAUAUAAUUUAAUGGCAAGCUAAUGCAGUUGUAAUAAGGAAUGCCUCAUGAGCUCUAAUUUAAAGCUUAAAGAUUGUUUCACCUCAGAAACACUAGCAAAUGCAACACAGAGAUCACAGAAAAUGAAGCUAAUGGGGGAAAAUUCACAUUUUAUGAGAUUUCGAAAGUAGAAAAAAUAAUAACUUUGACGUCAAACUCGAUAUGCUAAGGAAAUCUACUUUCUUUCAUCUCUUUCUUAUUCUCCUAAAUCCUGAUAAUAAAUUGGGUAGUAUUUUCAACGUUAUCCAAAAUCUGAUUGAAAAAAUAUAUGUAAUGAAAACAAACCUGGAGAGCCUGGGAAGCUUUUUCCGUCUCUAAAUCAAAAUCCUGUUUCUCCUCCAUGGUCACAAGCUCCAGCACAGCACGGCAAUGCAUGGGUGCAGCAGAAUCAAAGACCGGAAAGGCAAUAAUACCCCUUACUCCACAAGAGAUGGCAUCUGAUAGGUGUGAGUAUUCACUCGGUCUGUAAUAGCGUACAUUUGAACUCCAUUCUGGAAAUCCACAAUUCCAUUCCCGAGCAAAAAGCUCCGGACAUGAAAGCCCUUUCCGACCCUCCAGUUGACGAUAUUCAAGAAGCGUAGAAUUUGGGACGCACAAGUGAGGGUAAGGGAGAUUUUGCAGGCCGAUUCCUAAAGAAUUUUUAAGCAACGACAAUGCUUUUUCCAUCUUUUCCCAUAGACUCAACAUUGCAGGAGGCAAAUCAUCAUCGGCGCAAGACAAAUGUUCCUAAUCCAUUUGUAUUUUGACAAUUUUGUCUGCGACAAUUCUUCUCACUCCUCAGAUCAUCUUGUCCAUGGCUGGAAAGUGGAACGAUGAGGAGUGGUUAAACACUUGAAGGAGGUUGACUUGACUUCUAAUUUUGAUAAUAACUAACGAGGAAGCUUCCUCUGGCACACUUUGCUCCAUCAGUUUUCAUCUCUCCAUGUUUUACAUGGGUGUUACAUUUACAGGCUACAAGAACAAGAAGUUUCAUCAGGGUAAAAAAAACAUAAUAUCAAUUGACAAAAGCCAAUAUAUUUAAAACUGUUAGUUGCAACAAAAGGGUUUUCUGCAGAUCCAUACUAUUUCCACAGUUUUUCGCGUUUGUAAUAAUUUUUUUUCAAGAUCCAUUAUAGGGACCGAAACAAAAGUAAUUCAUUUUUUUCAUCUCAACUUUCCAGGUGAGAUGAAAAAAAUCCGCUAAUCUUCUUUUCUUGCCCCGGUUUUGUAUCUGCCAUAGCUCAUAACGUAUGCAGCCAUUUACCAAGUUAUGCAGUCGCCUGUCAACCCAAUCACUCUGACAUGAUGCAGCUAAUGAAUCCCAUAUCUCAACAACUUGCCUUUUCAAUUGUAGAACAAAUAGAAAGAAAUGACUUCUUUUCUCGUCAAAGACAGGAACAAACGCCUGCAGCAUAACUAAGCAUGGGAUGCAUUAAUUGGACUAAAAAAAACCAAACUUCACCUUUCCACAGCAUAAAAGAUCUGACAUGUAGUUUUCCUUGAUCCUGUGCUGUGCUUUUUCGCGAAAGAAAUACACUUAGAUGGAUCAUCUGAAUUCCCCUGUACAACACAUGAGCAUAAGGAAAUUCUGUUUUUUCAUGUAGUGGACUUGUAAAAUUGAACAGAAUAAUAAGAUGUCAGUUGUCCAAAUAUGAUCUUGGAAGUGUGAUUUUGGGGCCGGGGAUUUGCUGUCCACAGUAGAAAUAAAAAAUAGACGAAAUACCUUUUUUUUUUUUAGUAUCGAAUUAUUUUUAAAAUAUCGAAUUUUAUUAAAAUAAUGUUUUAAAAUAUUUUAAAAUAUCGAAUUAUAUUAAAAUAAUAUUUUUAAAAUUUUUAAAAAUUAUUUUUAAGAUGAAUACAUCAAAACAAUUCAAAAUAUAUAAAAAAAUUAAUUUUUAACCAAAAAAAAUUAAAAUUUUUAAGAACACAAACACAACCAUAUUUUCAAUAACUCACAAAAGAUUUUGAGAAAAGUCAAUCGAACUUGUAUUUUUUAAUUGAGAUAACAAAGCCCACCAUCUCACUCUCAAUCCAUGGAAACUAUUGAAAAUAAUGCUGAGUAGCAAAAAGUACUGGGAUAUGACUUGCCAUGUUUUGGAAGAUAAAUAUCUCAUAAAUUUAUUAGAGAUAUAUUUUUCAUUUCAUUUAAAUUACAUUUAAAACAUUUAAUAAUAGUAAAAUAUUGAUUUUUUACGAAAGCUCAAAAAAUUAUAUAUAUCUCAAAAAAUUAAAAAUGAUGUUAUAUUAAAUAAACUUAAUAAUAAUGAAUAUAAUAAUUAAUAAAAAAACAUAAUUACUCAUCAUCAUAGAUAAAAAUGAAUCAAAUCAAAUGAAAACAAUAAAAAUAUUUUAAUUAAAAAAUAAAGUAAAAAAAUUUAUCAAUUUACAUCUGCUACAAUUAAAAAUAUUAUAAUUUUGCAAAAUUUUUAAAAUUCUUGUGAAUGUCAAAAAUCUGAAAAGAUAAAAUAUAAUCUAAAUAAGAAUGUUAUCAUCAAGUUUAGGAAAUGCAGAUCAAAUGUUAGCAAGGUUGAUCCCAAACACCACACAGAAAGACAAAAGAGGAUUUCAGCUUUUGAUAUUGUUUUGAGCAUCGUGACCCUGUUAAUAAUCAUUACAAGGGAAGUGUGUGACUUUGCAACCAAAUUUCAUUAACAAAUAAUGGUAGGAAAAAACGAUGUUCAGAAAUUUAGGGGAAAAAUCAUUUUGAAACCACUUGUCUCUAGACAGUGAAGAACUCAAUUGAUAAAAAUUUCCUGGUGGUGAAGUUUCAUCAGCCUAGCAAAAGAGUUUCACGAUGCCUUUAUCGGAUUGGCUUUAGGGAAAAAGGGAGUGGUUUUAAAGACGGUGUUCUUGAAGUGGAAAGGAAUGGUGUGGUUUUAUUGAAAGAAAAUACGAGGGAGAUGGAGACUGGAGGUGGAGGAGAGUGUGAGAACAAGAGAGAGAGGCAUGAUGAGGAGCCUAAGUUUACUGUCAUUUUUCCAAAUACAUUUGACUUCAAACUCAAUAUGCGAAGGAAAGCUACUUUCUUUCAUCUCUUUCAUAUUCUCCUGUUUCUCCUCCAUGUCAUAAGCUCCAGCACUUCACAGCAAUAACACUACACUGUAGCAGCCGGGAAAACCAGAUGUAUGUUUUUUUUGUUCCAAGAACUCAUUUUUAAUCUAAAAUAUUAAUAAAACAUUCUAGGCAUCUUGAUCAACCAAUUCAUGAACUCAAAAAGUCCAAAACCAUUCUGAAACUGGAAAUCAACUUGAAAUAAAAAAAAUUUCCGAGUUUAGAUUUAUUUUUUUAGAUACUUUUAAAAUAAAAAAAAACCAUUUAAUAUGAAUUACAAUCAUCAAAUCAUCAAAUGAAAUCAUGAUAUUCCCAUAGAUUGUCUGAAUACUUUCUUUCAUAUUGAUGAUUUACGUCUUUCAUAUUCUCAUUUCUUGCCAAAAAUUCUCUAUGAUUUCCAAACCUCUGCUCAUAAUAUGCCUCAGCCUUGGAAGCCAAAUUAUUCCUGCAUGAGUUGACAUCACUCGCUAGCAAUCUUAGUACCACUUCCAACCUCUCGUUAUCGCUUUCGAACUGCAUGUUGGCUAGAUAAUUAGAAAGAUUGUCAUACCUUUAUCUUCAGUAAGCGCACAUUAAUGUUAAAAUAUUACCAAAAAAUCAGGACUCGUCACUUCUUCUGGUGCUAGCAUAAACUUGAUAACAUAUACACCACAGUCGUAUCUGCACAGAAAGAAAUCAUGUCAACUGAUGUGGCUUACAGUAUUUUAAAGGUACUCAACAAUAUGUAACCUAACUACUCAAUAUAUUGUGGAUCAUAAAUAUAUAUAUACAUACCCAUUUGGUUGCUGUGGGACAUUCGAUGGUCUUUCCACUCUGAAAUCUGUGAAGGACCAAACAUUUUGGUAGUUCUGAUGUAUAUCAUCUUUGAAAAGGGCGUCCAGGCUAACCAACUGGUUUGUGAAAAUGUUUUGGCAGCAAAAAGUUCAUAAAGCCCAUUAGUACAGUGGUUAACUAGGGUUGCAAGGUAGCUCAUGGAGUAUGCAGCCAUUUACCAAGUUACGCAGUCGCCUGUCAACCCAAUCACUCUGACUUGAUGCAGCAAUUGAAUCCCAUAUCUCUACAACUUGCCUUUUCAAUUGUAGAACAAAUAGAAAGAAAUGACUUCUUUCCUUGUCAAAGACAGGAACAAACGCCUGCAAAUAUAGUUUUCACAGCAUAACUAAGCAUGGGAUGCAUUAAUUGGACUAAAGAAAACCAAACUUCACCUUUUCACAGCAUAAAAGAUCUGACAUGUAGUUUUCCUUGAUCCUGUGCUUUUUCGCGAAAGAAAUACACUUAGAUGGAUCAUCUGCAUUCUCCUGUACAACACGUGAGUAUAAGGAAAUUGUGUUUUUUCAUGUAGUGGACUUGUAAAAUUGAACAGAAUAAGAUGUCAAUUGUACAAAUAUGAUCUUGGAACCUACCGCAAAAACAAUUGGCAGAUACCAAUUUACAGAAUCUUCUAUCUUCCUCUUAACUAAAGUCAUGGCAUCAGAUAUCGUAGAAAGGACGUUAUCAUCAAGCCAGGUCUCUGGUCUCAGAGAGUAUAGUUCCCUCCGAGAUAAAUGAUAAUUCUUGCAUUGGACAAUAGUCUCACUAGCAGAAACAGGUACAGAAUAGGUCAACUGGUGAACUUAAAUGCAUUCAGCUAAGCAAACUAUAACUUGGGGGAAAAGAAUCUGACCUCUCACUCAGUGAAGAAUCAAAGACAUAUUGGAUUAACUUUAAGUCCUCUGGACUGGUAGGUUUGCUCACUGUAAACGGACCAGCCAAAUAUUUGGACAUUUGCUUUCCAGGUGAGUCAAAUCUCACAUCUGUGGAGACCAGAGAAGAACCAGGCUUCCCUUCCUUGCUGCUGCAAAUAUGGAAGACAAAAACAAAUUGAGAAAAAUGAUAAUCCCAUAAAAUGUGAACAUUCAAUUUCGGGCGAUGAAAACUAUAGUUACAAAUUGAUACUGUAAUUGAAAUUACAAGGUUGCACCAUUAAGCUUAGGAAAUGCAAAUCAAAUCUUAGCAUAGUUGAUCUUGUUAAUAAUCAUCACAAGGGAAGUGCGGGACUUUUUCUUCCUGCACUUUGCAGACCAAAUUUCAUGAAACAAAUAAUGGUAGAAAAAAACAGGAAAAUGAUUUUCAGAAACUUAGGAAACAAAUCAUUUUGAAAUUAUUUGUCUCUAGCCACCAACCUAUUAUACACUAUACUAAAAGGGAUCAGUACCUUUAUUACUAUUUAUCUAGAUACAAAGCACUGUAGAUUGGAGCAGUAUAAUGACAGAGCUGCUCUUGCCAUAUAGAGUUGCAAGGAAAUCGGCGGGUUGUCUUUUCAGUGGGAUACAUAUGGCAUUAAAGGGAUGGUUGGGAAGAAAAUGAUCGGUUCUAAUUUUAGUGGGGUUGUAGGCCCCAGGCUGUAGACACUUGGUGUUAGGCCCGACAAGCCCUGAGCGCUAGGGCCAGACCCGCACGCCACGUGGGGCAGCAGGCCCCGAGCUGGAGACACUUAGCACUGGGUCCAACCGCGCGCAUGGCUACAGACCCGCAUGCCUAGAGUUUGGAGACCUGGGCGCCUGGGUUUGGAGACCGCGCGACUGGGGUCUGCAAAGCCCCCCAAGGCUCUAAGACAGCGCGGCUAGGUCAGCAGACCCAUACACCCUAGUUUGACUGUCUACUAACUGACAUCUGGGUCUGCAGACCACGCAAAGAGGAAUAACAAAUUCAAAAAAAUUGAAAAACGUGAAUAUCAAAUUUAAAAAACAACCACAGAUUUUAUUUAAAAGGUAAAAAUAUAAAUUACUAUUUUUAUUAUUAUAAUUAAUAAAUUUGAAAUAAAAUAUUAUUGUAAACAAAGAAAAACCAUUUAGUUGAUUUGAGGGAUAAUAAUAAUAAUAAUAAUAAUAAUAAUAAUAAUAAUAAUAAUAAUAAUUGUGCUAUAAAUAUUAUUAUUUUAUUAUAAUUGAUGAUAUUAAUAUUAAAAAUAGAAUUAUUUGUGGUAUAAAUAUUAUUAUUUUUAUUACAAUUCAAAGUAUUAAUAUAAAAAAUAUUAUAUUUGUGGUAUAAAUAUUAUUUUUUUUAAUUAUAAUUGAAAGUAUUAAUAUUAAAAAUAGUAUUAUUUGUGCUAUAAAUAUUAUUAUUUUAUUAUAAUUCUCUUGGGUCUUGCGUUAGGAUCCAAUCCUGUUAGGUCCAGUGUCGAGACAAAUUAGCCUUGGGUCAUGCGUUAGGACCCACGUCUCAUGAUCCGGAUACUGGACCUAACAUAAUUGGGUUCAGUGUCGGAACCCAACAUAAUUGGGUCCGAACACAGGACUCAAGGCUAAUGGGUCUUGAUGCAUAACCCAACAAAAUUGAGUCCCACCACCGGACCCAAGCCUAAUGGGUCCAGACACAUGACCCAUUAGACUUGGGGCCGAUGUCGGGACUCAAUUCCUUACUUUUGUAUUAAAAAAAAUUUAGAAGCGCAUAUGGCAUACAUUGUUUGGUGUACUAUAAAAGCAUACAUUACUAUUCUAUGUAUUGGGUUGUCUAAUUAUGUUAAACCUUGUAUCAUGCAGUAAAAAUGUUAAAUAUUAUUUUAGAAUUAACAAAAUCUAUUCCAGGCUUCAAGUUUAGAAAAUGUUGUUUUUUCACAUUUGUUUUUAAUCGUUUGGUUAGGGGUUUUUUGUCUUUUUUUUCACUAUUCUAAUGGUGCUAGGACUUUGUUACUACUAAAAAAAACUUGAAUUUGAUUUCAAACAUAAAAUUAAAAACUAUAAAAACUUUAAAAAAAAAAAAAAUUUGACCUCACAUUGUUUUGGACAUGAUAGACAUCUAAGUUCAAGAUGCUAGGACUUUGUAGUUGGUCAAGUCCAAGGUAUAAAUAUUGUUACGUUACCAUUUCACUGGAAUGCAUGUAGCAUUGAAAAAUGAUUAUGUAGAAAAUGAUCAGCUCCAGUUUUGGUGGGACUACAGGCCCUAGACUGCAGACAUCUAGGGCUGGGGCUGGCAAGCCCUAGGCGCCCACGCGCCACGUGGGGUUGCAGGCCCCAAUUUGCAGACACAUGGCGCUAGGGCCAGACCCGCGCGCAUGGCUAGCUGCAAAUCCAGGUGAGUGGGUUUGAAGACCAGCUCAGGACGCCUUAGUCUUGGGUCCUGCGUCCGGACCCGGGUCUCUUGGGUUCUGCGUCGGGACCCAAUCCUCUUGCAUCCAUUGUAUUUCUAAAUAUAAUUAUUUGUGUUAUAAAUAUUAUUAUUUUUCUUAUAAUUAAUAAUAUUGUAAUUAAAAAUAUUAUUAUUUUUAUUAUAAUUAUUAUUAUUAAUAAAAUAAUUAAUAAAUUAAAAAAACAUUAUUAUUAUUAUUAUUAUUAUUAAAUUUAAAAAAUACUAUCAUUACUAUUGAAGAAAAAACAUCAUUUUUUAAAAAGAUUAAAAAAUAUAAGAAUUUGAGAAGACAAGUUAAAUAUUAUUGUUUGGUCUAGUGUUAUAGUCAAACUCAACACUCUUGGGUUCGGCAUUGUAACCAGACUCGACACUCUUGAAUUUUAAAUUUUUUUAAUAAUUUUUAUGAAAAUAAAAGGUUAAUUCACGUAGUAACGGGAUCCAAGUAAUAAACUAAACAACCAACUUACUUGUUUUCAGGGCUUUCCAACCAGUCCUGUCUACAUAUAAAAGCCUCUAUGGUCUCUAGCCCCAAACCAUUGAAUGCUGGAUUCACCUUUGUAGCUUCACCGCUGAUAGUAGACUUUGAUAGAAUAGCUGAUAUCGGAAUUGCUACGAAAUCACGAGCCAUUUUACCAAGUGCUGGAAAUCUUGGAGCAUUGACUCGCCACCAAGCUAAUACAUCUGAAACCUUAUCCUGGUUUUCCACAGGCUCUCCUAAAUACCGAUCAAGAUCAGAUUUUGGCGGAUCAACCUUAAGCCACUCACAGAAUCCCAAGAACUUACCAUCGGAAUCCAGAUCAUAUGAUGGCAAACAACUGAUGUCGCUGGCAGGUGAUGCUAUAUAACCAGUGGCAUUCGCAUAACUGUUGUACAUACAUGUAAGUUUGCUACGAAAUUCCAGCAAGUAUUUGCUAGCAUCACUGCCAUACAUCAGCAAAAACCCAUACUGCACAAAUUUAAGUUUACAGCGCGGGUCGAGUACUAAUAGGAUUCCAAAUGCAAAACUCCAUUCACUCCAAUGCCUAUCAAGAUUCACCUUCAUUCUCUUCGCCAUCGAACAAACAUAUGCAUGCUCACUCUUUUCCCACGAAAGCAAGUUCUUAUAUAUAUAGCAAACAUGGAGGAAGCAUGCAUCUAUGCUUGAUGAAGAACUGCCUACAGAUUUGUGGAUCACUUUUAAACACCCACAUACAAUCAUCGCCAUCUUCCACUCCUCUGCAGAUGGAUUCACCUUAAAAUCAAAAUCAACUUGCUCGAGUUGAGUAAAAGCUUCUUUUAAUUCCAAUGCACUCAAGAGCAUGACAAAUGUGGUAUCCCAUCUGGUAGGAUCAUCAUGAGAGGCUGCUUUCAUAUCUUGCAAUUUCACAUUAUUACUUGCUUCCCGAAACUUAUCUUGGUUAAUUGGUGUUGCAUUCACAUAUUCAAUACAGCCCCUGAUCUUGUUAAGCACAUCUUUUAUCUCGUAAAACCCAUCUCGAGCAAGAAGUUCAAGAGUUUGUGCGUAGCAAGAAAAACAUAGUAAGUCCCCAUUCAUAUGUGGGAAUUGACUGACAAGCUUGCUUCUGAAUUCUCUAGUCAUUUGACUGUUUGGUGGAGCAAUUUCUGCAAACAUGAAGUGCACUUUCUUAAUGAUAUUCCACUCCACAAGCACAUCUUUCACAGCUUCAUUCAUAUAAUCAUGUUCCAUACUCCUGAAAGCCAAAAUCUUCUUAUUCAUCCUCCAUCCAUCAUCAAUAAAAUGCAUGGUCAAGCAGCAGGACAUCUUGUUAUCACCGUAUGACUGCAAAUCUAUUGUUAUACUGAAAAGAGAUGAGAGAUUAUCAAUAUAUUUCAUUAGUUUCUCUUUCUCUUGUCUGUAAAUAGAAAGAGCAUCAGCCUGAACAGUGUCUUGUGAACAGAGUUGAAACUUUGGCUGCAGAUCGCAGACAAAAGUUUUGAAGAACUCAUUUUGAACCAUAUCCAAUGGAAAUCCGAGCUUCAUAAUCAUUCUAACAAAGUUAAGGCGACUCCUUUCUUGAUCAAACACGAAAUUCCCUCCCAAAUCAGAGGGCAAUGUAUGUUGUUUUGCAUCUCUCUGUCCCCUUUUUGAACAACUUUUUAAGUGUUUGAGUAGAUUUGAAGUUCCCUUUGUGUUUUCCCCUGGAUACUUCUUUUGACAUCCUUUACAUAUGGCCCAUAUUGCACCAUUUUCUUUGUCUUUAACCUUAUCGAAAUGUUUCCACACUUCAGAUACCUUUCAUCGUUUAUUAUCAGCACAUUCGAUGAACAUGCUACCAUCAGGAUCUGGAGCAGGUUCAAUUUUAUCAUUGUUUUUACUAACUUUCGAGCCUCGUUUCGUGAUGAAUGGUUUUUCUGAAAACAUUCUCAAGCUCUUACAAGUUUGCUUUAUUGUAAGCUUCAGUUUCUCAACCAAUUCUUGCUGCUCUGAACUCUCUGUCACGAGGAUAGGGAGAAAGAACUCUAAUAUAUAGAUAUAAUCAUCACCAGUGCUCCUUAGCAGGAUUGCAACCGCAGCAUUCAAAUUAUACUUCCGUGCGUGAUGAGCAAGAGGAUAGUCCCUUACAUGCUUUUCCUUCACAUCAGGCUCAAAGGAAGUAAGACAUGUUUGACAGGCUUGUCCAGCAGCACCUUGCCCUGGGUACAGAAAUAGCUGCUCACAAGCAUGCACAAAGCCUUGCAUCUCCUCAUCUGCAUAACAAGCUGUACGCUCUAUUGCAAGUUCACCUGGCCACCAAAAACUUGCAUGACCUAAUUUUAAAAUAUCAUUAUCUCCCCAGGGAAUCCAUGUCAGAGCAAGUGGCAAUCUGUGUGUUUGGCAUACAGCUCUGCUAACAUCAGCGAUUUCAGUUAAGGCAGCUCUUUGAACCUCAUUAAAACACUGGGAAAAAAAUUCUAUAAGACAAAGCAAAAGACAACCUAAUUUUGCAUAGAAAAAACUAUAAUGUACUGAUACAUACCUGAGGACGAGAUACUAGUAAUUUGGUCCGUAAAUUCGCAGCCUGCAAACAGUUGGGCUUAUACAGAGUUCACAACACCAUCAAAGAAGACCAAAUGGGAACGCAGAGAUCACAGAAAAUGAAGCUAAGGGGGAAAAUUCACAUUUUAUGAGAUAUCAAAAGUAGAAAAGACAAAAACUUUGACUUCAAACUCGAUAUGCUAAGGAAAGCUACUUUCUUUCAUCUCUUUCUUAUUCUCCUAAUUCCUAUUCUUGCGGCUGUUAGGUUGUUAGAGUUAUUGUUGAAAUUGUCAAACUUCAUUAAGUUAAUAAUCCCUACUAGUUGGAAUAAGAGUCUAACUGUUUUCUUUAACUAUUUACAGUAUAAAAAGUGAAGUGGGUUGUUUUGUUUCAAUCUUAUCUCUUUGUAAUGCCAACAGUUUGCUUUGAAUUCAAUAAGGAUAUUUCAGAUAAUUUGAGUGAAUUGCUUUGUGGUAGAGUUUACAACAAUAAAUUGAGUGCUAUUUUCAACAAAAUCUGAUUGAAAAAAUAUAUAUACUGAAAACAAACCUGGAGAGCCUGGACAACUUUUUCCGUCUCUAAAUCAAAAUCCUGUUUCUCCUCCAUGGUCACAAGCUCCAGCACAGCACAGCAAUACUUGGGUUGAUCAGAUUCAAAGAUCGGAAAGGUAAUAAUACCCCUUACUCCACAAGAGAUGGCAUCUGAUAGGUGUGAGAAUUCACUCGGCCUGUAAUAACUUACAUUUGAAGUCCAUUCUGGAAAUUGACGCGCAUAAGUCCAUACCCGAUCCAAAAUGUCGUGGCCUGAAAGCCAUUUCCGACCCUCCAGUUGACGAUAUUCAAGUAGCGUAGAAUUUUGGACGCACAGGUGAGGGUAAGGGAGAUUUUCCUGGGCGAAUCCACGCUUAUCUUCAGCCCAAAAUUGUGCCAAAAAACAACCACUUCCUAAAGAAUCUUUAAGCAACAAUAACGCUUUUUUCAUCUUCGCACGUAGUCUUAACUUUGCAGGAGGCAAAUCAUCAUCGACGGAAGACAAAUGUUCCACGUCCAUUUGUAUUUGGACAAUGUUUUUUGGCCACAAGCCUUCUCACUCCUCAGAUCUUCUCACACAGUGGCUGGAAAGUGGAACGAUGAGGAGUAGGUAAAGGCUGAUCAGAAAUAGCUCUACCCAGAUUUUUUUGGCAGUGUCUUAAAACCAACUUAUCUUCUGCCCCUUAUUCACUGAUAUUUUACCUCUAUUCUGAUAGUUUAAUUCUUUUCAAUUUCAUCCUUGUGUUUUUCUUGACUAAAAAAAAGCUUAUUUAUAGCAGCAGAACUGGCUGAGAAUCUCAAGUGUAUUUGGAUUGUCCGGCCCGGUCACUAGCCCAAGCCAGUGACCCGGCUGGGCAAAGCACACGUGAACUUGUUCACGCGUGCAUGGGCACAGUGCGAAGGUAAUUAAUUACCUUCGCACAGUGCUAAAUGCACCAAAGAUUCAAAAGGAAUGAAAAGGAAGAGAAAGCUUACCGUGCCGCAGAUUGCUCUGCUGGAGUGUUAGCGUUUUGGGCGAAGAUCAGUGAAGGCGCUCGUUGCAAGGAAACUGGAAUUCCUCCUACCUUUACUUUCAUGCCCUCUGUUUCUUCUUCUCUCGUCUUUUUUGUUCUAUCGUCCCUGUGUUUGUCUCCUGCGUCUCCUUCCAGUUCUUCCCACGUUUGUUUUUGUUCGUUCCUCUGUUCUCUCCUGCUCCUUUUCUUUUUUUCGUUCGUGCUCUGUUUUCUUUUUUCCCCUCCUGCUUCUCCCGCUCGUCUGUGAAUUUGUGCCUUUUGCUCUGUCACUAUUUUGAGGCCUUUCUCUGGCUUUAUAAAAGCCAGAGAAGGUCUGGUGUCCCUGCCUCCAGAAAUGGUGGGCAUCUUGGAGGCGAGAGAUCAUGGCCGCAUCGUGGGUAUAGUGGCCGUGAUCUGCUGGGUUUUCCCCUGUUGAACCGGUCUUCAACAAGCAGAUGAUGAACAGAAGGAUCCAAAACGACGUCAUUUGGCAUGGAAAACGACAAAUUAUAGAUUGGUCCCUGAUGUUUUGAAAUGUAUCAAUUGGGUCUCUUCAUCAUAAAUUGUAAUUUUGCUCCUUGUAUUAAUUUCAAUUAAAUCCCUGAAUUUAUUUUAUUAAUUAAAUUAAAAUUUAAUUAAGUAAGUAAACUUAUUAAUUCUCUUGAUUUUAUUAAUUAAACUAAAUUAAAUUUUCAGACUUAUUAAUUUUAUAAUUUCUGAACAAUUUAAUUUCAAAUUUAAUAAUUUUAUCCUUGUAUUUAUAUUAUUUUAACUCCAUUCUUAAAUAUAUUUUUAUCCAUUUAUUUUUUAUUAUGUAUUCAAAAAUUAAGUUAUGAUAUCAUCUAUAUUUCAAUUUUGUUAACUAAUAAAUUUGAUUUAAUUACCUUGAAUUUAGUUUAAUAAGCAAUUAAAAAGUUUAAAGAUAAGAAUUAAAAAAUCAAAAUCAAAAUUUUGAACCAUCCAAAGAGUAAACAAUGCACGUGAAAAUAUUUUGGCAACAUUUAAUGUUUUUUAUAAUAAUAUAAUAAUAACUGUUUGGAUUUUUUAAUUUGGAUCACUUUAUAUUUUUUUUUUUCAAAGCUAAUUUUAAAUAGGAAUCAAAUAUCUGUCCAAUAUUUUUAAAAAUAUUUUUUAUUUAAAAUACAUUAAAAUAAUAUUAUUUUUUAAAUUAAUAUAUUAAAAUAAUAUGGUAUAAAAAUAAAAAAAAAAUUAAUUUAAAAUUUAAAAAUAAAUAAAAAUUUAAAUGUUUUUUAAAAAAUACUUUUAAAAUAUAAAAAUAAACGUUACGAUAGUUACCCUUCAUUGAAAUCAGUGCCUUUUUUUUAUACCAAAACCCAGAAAAAAAAAUCUUGAGCUUUAUACUCGCGCAAAAAAGGCAGUCUUUACUUAUAUUUAGCUUUAUCUGUGUGCUUAUAUGUAUAAAGAAGACAAAUUUGGAGGUGGGUUUGGUGUGUUAUUGUUGAUAUUGGAGUGUGGAAGUGAAUCACGGAGGCUUUCUAUACUGCAAAUUUUUGGAUGUCAUAUUACUGGAUUGUCCUUGCUACUCAUAGAAAGGAGGUGAGUGAUGUACUAGUUAGACCAUGGAUGUUGAGAUAUAUGUUUAUUGGCUGCUGAAAGCUGAUAUAUCUUGAUUUCUUGGUGUGUGCAGGCAGCUAUAUGUAUUGCAGGUUUGAAGAAAGUGAGGUUUUGCUUUCUGGGUUAUUUCUGUCGAAACAGGUAAAAGGUUAGGUUUUUCAAGUGUAAUUAUUGAGUUGUUUUUAGUUAUUCAAAAACAAAAAAAAAAAGGCUAAAGAGAGGAAAUUGAGCUGUUCUGUUUUGCGGGAAGAUAAAAUCUGAGCAGAAAGAGUGAAACUUUGAAAGAUUUGAAGUUAUGCAAGUGAGGGAAGAUAUUUGGAAACGAAGAAUUGAGUUUUGAGUAUUUUGGAGUGUGAUUUUUUGGAGUGUGAUUUUGGGGAGAUGAAAAUAUUUUUUUUAGUGCGGUUAUUAUUGUUUUUUAAAGUAUUUUUUAUAUUUAUAUGUAUUAAAAUAAUAUUUUUUUUAUUUUUAAAAUAAAUACAUCAAAACAAUUUAAAACACACAAAACAAAAUUAAUUUUUAACAAAAAAAAUUAAAAUUUUAAAAAACACAAAUACAAUCAUAUUUCCAAAACCUAAAAAAAAAAAAAAAAGUUUGAGAAAAGUCAAUUUGGCCUUGUAUGGCUGUAAAUUCUAUAGCUUUGUAUGAUCUAGAAUGGCUCUGGCGUCUAUUGCCUUUUUUUUUUACGCUAGUGCUCCUGCCGGCCGGCACCUGAAUUUAUAGAGCGGAGCGGAAAGUACAGGGGAGAGUGAGCGGAAAGUCAUUUUCUAAAUUGAUUAAUAAAAAACUUUUUAGUUAAAGAAAAAUUUUAUUUGAUUUUUUUAAAAAUAGUUUUUUUUUUAUUUUGAAUAUAAAAUAUUUUUAAAAAAUUAUGAAAAAUUUAGAAAUAUCAUAUUAUUUACUGAUUAUAUCAAAUUUAAUCCUUAAACUUUUGAUUGUUAUAUAUAUAUUUUUUUGAAUAUUUUUUUUAAUUUCAUUUCUUAGAAUUUGAUUUUUAUAUUAAUUUUAAUCCUUAUUUUUAUAAUUUUUAUUUUUUUAUUAUCAUUUUUAAUUAAAAAUUUUUAUCUAUCAAAUUUGAUCCUCAUUCUUUUGAUUGUUACUUAUUUUAUUUGAAAUAAUUUAUGAAAUGGUAAUUAUUAUUAUUUUAAUUUCUUCAUCUUUCAAUAUUUUUAUUUGUUAAACUUGAUCUCUAUUAUUUUAAUUAUUAUUAUUAUUAUUUUAAUUUCUUUAUUUUUUAAUAUUUUUAUUUGUUAGACUUGAUCUCUAUUAUUUUGAUUAUUAUUUAUUUUAUUUGAGAUAAUUUAUCAAAUUUUUUUUAAUUUCAUUCUCAUUCAAAUUUUUAAUUUAUAAGAUUUAUUCUUUAUUAUUUUAAUAAAGUUGAAAAAAAUAAAAUAUUAAUAAAUUAUUUUUCAGCUCAUUUUUCAUGACAUAACCAAACACUGAAAAAUAUUUUUCAAUUUAUUUUUUAUUAUACUAUCAAAUAAAAAAAAUAAUUUAUUUUUUCAGAAUUUAUUUUAAACAGCAUCCAAGUUUGAGGGAGAAGAAUAGCAAGGCGAGGAGUUACUGUAUAAAAGCUCCCACGCAAGAUGACGACAACGACGACGACAGAAAAUACUCAGGUGGGGCAGUUAUGCUUCAGUGCCACAAAUGAGGUGAUUGCUCAAGGAGUUUAGAAACACCAUUUUCAAUAUUCUGCUAACUUAUGGUAUCUUUCAAGCUCGUAAGCAUGCCAUCAGCUGUAUUAAGUAUUAGAUACUAAAUUAGUUACCAAUCUCUCUCAAGGAGGUGAUUGCUCUCAAUUUGAUCCCUAAACUAAAAUGUUUCUCAAUUAGGUCCUUACAAAGUUUGGCCAUUUCUCAAUUGAAUCCUUCUAUCCAUAUCUAAUGCCAUGGGAUGAAGUCGUAAAUCAAGAAAUAAAUACAUUCUCUACAUUUUUAAAAAGAACUUGAAAUGUCUUGUCGAAACAAUUGUGAUAAUUUUAGAUGAAAGGACUUAAAUCUGCAGGGAAAAAUUAUUUAUGGUCGUGACGGAAUUAAAUCACUCGAUCGUAGCUAAGUACCUAAAUAUAUACACUCAUUUCUCUGUGGAAAAAGGAAGAAGAAUUGAAGACAAAUAAGGACUGCCAAAACCAGCUAGCUGCCAUGGACUCGUCGAGAGUGGUGUUUUUUUUUUUUUUAGUUUAAUGUAGGUGUCCGGGCCAGCUUGCGCGCACCUCGACUAAUCCCACGGGCCCUGAAGUUAAUGAUCAUGUAAGCCUCCAGUGGCCAUCAUAUGAGCAACCACAGAGCUCGAAUCUGAAACUACAGAGAAAGCAAACCUUUUAAUCUCAAAUUUUUACCACUGGUGUUUUUGUUCAUAGCUAUGAUGGAAAUAUGGCUAAAGGCAGUUACAGGUCACAGAAAAUAUGAAGGAAUUUUGUUGAUUUGCCAGAUGAGAUUUGCAAUGUCGAAAAUUCUAGCUUCAAUGAAAAUGGAUGGUAGCAUAACAAAUUCUUCUAGGUUUUUUUUUUUUUUUUUUUAAUGCAGAGCCUCUAUUGUACCCAAAGCAAUAAAUUCAUGAUUCAAUUAUUUUUGGUCCAGUCCGAUUUUUACCUAUAAAAAUAAUCAAACUAAAAUUUUAUAAAAUAUAAAAAAUAAAAUCAAAACCAAACCGAAACGAAACCGAUCCCAACCUACCGGUUUUGGUUUGGUUCGGUUUUGGUUAUUUUAUAUUAAAAAUCAAAAACUAUACUAUUUUUUGAGGUUUUUUUUGGACUUUUUGACGGGCUUGAUUUAGGUUCGGUUCGGUUUUUUAUUUUUUUCUAUUUGAUUCAGUUUAUUUUUAACUAAAUCGGUUCGGUUCGAUUGAGGUUUUUUAGUUUCAGGCUUAUGAAACCUAACCCGAACCCGAAUCAAACCAAAUAUAUUUUUAAAUAUUCUAAUCAGUUUAAUCAAUUUUUUUAAUAACUUGAUUUUUUUAAUUAUUUAUUUUUUAAAUUUUCUUGAUUUAAUUAAUUUUUCAGUUUUUUUUUACCACUACUUUCUUUUUAAUUUACUAGUUACUAUUUAUAGGGUAAUAAUGAGUGUACUGAGAUUAGUUAAAUCUGAUUAAAAAUUCUAAAAUCCAAUUAAUUUUAUAAUUUCUAAUUAUUCGAUGAUUUAACAAGUGUAGAAUAAAUCACUCCAUUUCAGAACAUAAGUCAUGUCUAGAAAUGAUUUAUUGGCCUAUAUUGGUUUUAAUUGAAUUCAACCUAGAUCGUAGAUAUGGUCCAUGAAAGAAUGGAUGAUUAUUAUUUGGAAGGGAAAAAUUAAUCGGACCUUUAUUUGAGAUGGAGUUAAUUUGUCGAAGAAAGAGAUGGAGUUUGUCAUCAAUCGAAUGUUGGAGUUUGAGAAAAGUCAAUCGGACCUUAAAAAAUUUACAAGUACGAAUGUCCCACCCCCCCACCCCCACAGUCCGCCAGUCGGAAUGUUUAGGGAUCCCACCCCCCCCCCCCCCCCCUAUUUAUAGCACUCAGUCCCCCCACCCUCUCAGCCAAACCUCCUCCUCCUCCUCCUCCUCCUGCAGUCUCUUGCUUGUCUUUUAGUCCCACCACCAUCACAAGCAGCUAGAAUUCUUUCCCAGUCUUUUCAACAGUUUUUUCGAUAGUUUUUUGCGUUUCUUAUAAAUUCUUUCACAGUCUUCUCAAGCUUUAUACAUACAGCACAGGAAAACCAUGGAGAAUAGUGCUCGAGUUAUCAAGGGUUUUAUUCUUUCAAUUCCAGAAUCUGUGUCCCGACUCUGGCAUAGAGCACGACAACUGGAAUCACAGCAGCUACCACCUCCCACCAUGAACCAAGAAGGAGAGGCUAACCAGGGAAUGAAAUGGCAAAAGGUGCUUGUAAGCACCUGCUUCACAUCAGGACUUCAAAUAGCCCUUCAUUUUCACCAAAUUACUGAUUCCAAACUCGAUUCCUUGCAUUUAGUCUGUAUCCUUGUUGCAUUUAUCUUUUCUUGCCUCUUUGUUUCACAUUUUAUCAACCCCGCCAAGUUUCCGCGGACAUCCAAAGUGUUGGGUAAAGUUGCAGUUUUCCUGGUAGCCACCGUGUUUUUCAUCACCAUUUCAAUCCCAUUCCCCCCUGGUGUCAAGUGGGCUACUUGGAUAAUCUAUGCCAUUUCGUUGCUUGUUAUUGCAAUCUGCAAUUUCUGCUACUAGGCAUACAUUUUUUCUGUCAGUGUUUGUAUUUGUUCUUCAUAAUAAGGCUUAAAUUUUAAAAACGAACAUGUUGUUUCGUUGCUGCGUGUGUCGGUAUUUACUUAAACAUCAUAUAUCAAAAAGUUGAACACCAGAUUUCUGGUUUUUCCCCUCCUAUGUAUAUCCAAGCAUUUUCCAAUAGAAAAGCAAC